rnacentral:lncRNA from 1 species
UCAGCACUGCAGCAAGGACAGCUUCCUCCGCCUCAUAUGCAUUCCAUGCCACAGCCACAACCUCAAAUUAAUCAGACUCAGUCUCAUGAUAAUCAAAUGAACCCUCAGUUGCAGUCAAUAAAUUUACAAGGUUCUGUGCCUACAAUACAAGCAAACAACAUGACAAGUUUACAGCAUAAUUCUUUGCCUUCUUUACCUGGGGUUGCGACAGAGCAGCAGACCAUGUUAAAUUCACUGCAGCCCCGUUCCAAUUUGGAUGCAGGACAACGUAAUGCCCUAGGCUCAAUGCAGCAGGCUGCUGCAGGACCCUUACAACAGAAUCCUGUGAGUUCCUCCCAACACGCAAAUAUUAACAUUUUAUCUCCACAAAGUGGCUUAAGUGUCCUGCCGCAAAACAUGAAUCCUCUUCAGUCAAAUUCCAACAUACUUCAGCACCAGCAUAUAAAACAACAAUUGGAACAGCAAAUGCUGCAGUCACAAAUGUACAAACAACAGUUUCAACAGUGUCAGAUGCAGCACCAAUAUAUGCAGCAGAAGCCGCAGCUACUGCAACAACUACAGCAACAGCAACAAAAGCAGCUGCAUCAAACGGAUGAUAUAAAUGACGUGAACAUGAGACAGGGAAUAGGUGUUAAUCCUGGGUUCUUCAAGCAAAUCUCCCAACUGGCCAACUUCCAGGAUAUUCAUAUGAGCAUUCAAAACCUAGUGCCCAGUUUCUUACAUCUUCACCCCUACUCUUUGAGGCUCCAUUUGUCCCACCUACUUCAACCCUGUUGAGUCCAUAUCCCACGCCUGAGAACUCUGAGAAAUCCAUUUAUGGCGCUUCCUCUCUGUCAAAUAACAAAAAUAUUAGUCAGCAGCAAGCAAGAUCUGAAUGCCCUGCACCUGACACACCUGGUAAUGGUAUGUCAACAUCACAUUUGCUUGCAGGGUUCGAAAAUGCUAAUGAUACUCACAGUAAUGCUUUAACAACUGAUUUUGGCAAGUCGAAGGUUACAGAACAGCCCCAUGAUCCCGGAGUUACCAUGGUUAGCGAAGCGUUAUUAAUUUUCAUUUUCACAUGCUCUGUUUUCAAUUUUCUCCUUUGGCUUGAUAUGUUGUUCAUGUGGUAAAAGAGUGGAAAAAAACCUUGAAAUCCUUUUUUUUUUUUUUUUCUUUUUGAUUUUAUCUUCUAGUAUAGUUUGUUUUAGCUUUAGAAUUGAUGUCGGUCUAUUACUAUUUUAUAAGUUUCAGGCAAAACCCAUGUCACUUAAAUCAUUGGAGGCAUCUGUUGUCACCAUGGUUGAUGAGGCAGCCACAGCAGUCGGUGUGGAUAUGGCCGCCAUGAACAAGGGUGGUCUGCAUCCAAGAAAUUUCUUUCCACAAACUGGAAUGACUGGAGUUGAGAAAAUGAGAUACCACAUGAGUGCUUUUGGUAUAUUAGCUAUAAUAAUUUGGUUCAUUAUAAUAGUGUCUGUAUGAGCAGUAGCAAACAAAAUUUCAAGCUUUUAACGUUUGGAUAAAGGAGGAAAGAGCCAUUGGUUAUAGCAUGGAUUUCUCUCCUAACAAGCAAUGACUAUUGACUGAUGAUAUUAUUAUGAGAAAUUGUUGACAAGUGUUUGCUUAUUUAAUGGUUUUUGAACUUGUUUACAUGCUUAUCAAACAUAAUAGGUUUUUGAACAAGAUUGGCUCUGUUAAAUUCCAAACUUUGCCAUGUAAUUUUAACCUAAUUAUUUUGACUAAAACACUACCAGAACUUUGAUUUUAAGUGAUGACUUUCGACAAUCAUUUUUGAAAAAGUGAAAGUAUGGCUUAAGUAAUUUUAGCCCACUAUUUUAAGAAAUUUUUAUUGAAACAUUUAUGCUCUUAUAUUUUGUGAAUACAUAUAUAAAAUGAAAGUUGAUAAAAUCAUUUGUAAAUUACUCAAUAUCAUCAAUUUACAACCUUGCACGAAUUUAAUUUUACUUACUGAAAUUUUAAUUUGAAAAUUUUAAUUUUAAAAUUAGCGUUGAACUAAUAUUUCAUUAUUUGUUGUCAAGAGAAAUUUUAUUUAUUAAUCUUAAAAUGAUGAUUUAUAAUUAUUAUAUAUCAAAUUCAAGUUUUAUCUACUGAUAAUUUAUUUCAUUUUAUAUUGUAUUUUUCUUGAUAACAUGUUGAUUGGUUAAGAUUGAUUUUCUUCUUACUUGUUUAUUUAACUAAUUAUGUUUGAUAAAAGAAUUUGAUUUCUUCUUAAAUGGAAUUUGAGUUAUUUGUGUCUUGGAAGAAAAUUAAAUAAUUUAGUUAAGUUAUAUAUUGAUCAACUAAUACUUUAUUAUUAUAAAUAAAUGAAUUACAACUAGAACUAUUAAAUUAUAAAAAAAUUAUAAUAAUUUUAGAUUCUAUAUAUAGAUACGACAUAAAUUUAUAAAAAAAACAAUAUAAUAUAAUUUUAAAUUUAAUAAAAAUAAUAUAUAAUUUUAAAAAUAAAAAAUAUAUUUUGUAUUUGAUACAUGACAUAAUAACUUCAUCCAUAUUAAAUACAAAUAAAAAGUAUCUAAUUACAACUCUUCGAUAAGUUGGUCGGCAAAUUAGAAAAAAUCACAACCUCGAUUUUAUAUCAAUUUUGUAAAAAAAAUCAAAGAUAAAAAUAUCAAAAGAUCACUUUUACUUUACAAGUUUUUAUAAAAACAAUAAUAACAUGUUUGUUUUGAAAAAUAAAUUUAAGAUAAAAAAUUAUUUUAUUUACAAAUGAAAUAAUAUUAGGACUCGAUCCAAAAUCAAUAAUUUUAUUGAAGUAAAGGAACCAACUCUUAUUACUUAAAUUAUUUUUAUUAUAACAUAAAAGUGGUUAAUUUGGAAAUAAAAAUACAUGAUUGCAAAAAUAAUGUCAAUAUGUAUAUAAAAUAUAAAAUUUGAAAGAGAAAAAUUCAAAAGUGUAAGGAAGAAACAACAAUAAAAGUAAAAAUUGAUAAAAAAAAAAGUCAAUUUAGGGUUUUUUUUUUUUUUUGGCAAUGGUCAUUAUUUGUAGACAUGUCUCUUUUCCAUUCACUUGUGUACAACACGUGACUUUCUUUCUCUCCUUGCUUACUAAGUUUCUUCUUUCUCCUCCUUUUCUCUCACUCUCUUUCCAACCAAACAAAUAAAUCUAUUUGAUUUUCCUUCUUUUACUUUCUUCUAAUAAUGUUUAUUUAUACGUGAGAAUUGGGUAGUUUUCCAAUUCUGUCAAAAAGAAACAACAAAGAAAUUUUAUAAUUUAUUCUCUGUAUACUCAAAGAUAAUCUGAGGCGUGGGUUUAAUUCAAUCUGGGAUUUGGUUUUUUGAAAAAAAAAUCCUUGAGGAAUUUUCGAAGCGGAUCUCUCUUGGGAGCGCUUCUUUGAGGUAAAAAUUUCAAAUUUUUAUAGGUUUUACGGUUCUGUUGCCUUAAUUUCCUCGAAAAUCUUACCUGGGAUUAUGUUUUUGACUGUAAGAAUAAAAGAUUUCAUUUUUUUUUAUUUAAUAUCAACAGGUAAUUAACUUUGUAUAUUUUUUAAUCUUUUUGCUUUGAAAAAAAAUUAGAAAGAUUGAUAGAAUAUUUGGAUACCCAAUAAUGAAAGCAACCCCCAAAACCCGAUUAUUUCUAUUAAACAUAGUUUAAAUCAUAGAUUUUGUUAAUAUUUAUGAUUCUCUUUCUCUUUGUUUUUUCAUUGAAUAAUAUAUGAUAAAGUUCUAGUUAUGGGGCUGAUUUCAUUGGGAAAGUGUCAAAUAUUUAGCUAGAAAAGUUUCAAGUGCAGUUGUUUUUGGUUAGGAGGCUCAACCUUUUAACCGUGAGCCUUGGUAGCAUUCUCAGAAGCCAACUAACAAUUAAUUCUUUAGUGAAUAGCAAUUGGUUGAGUAUUAGCAUUGCUUUCCAGUGAUGUGCUGGUCUAGUGGUGAAAGUAGUGGUGUUUUAGUGAGUUACAGUCCUCCUUAGGCUUAUGAGCAAUGGCCUAGGACAGAGAGAAAAAUCGGAAUCUUAACAGCCUUGUGAAGAAGGGUUACCUAGUAUUAGUAUUAAAUCAACCAAAUUGACAUCCAGUUGUAAAAUUGUGGUUUACAUAGCAAACUAUCAUGUUCAACUUAAGUCAUGGUUGUAGGGUGUCUGUGAGUGUCUAGUAACAUGUCCUGUCAUUUUGUAAGAGCGCGGCAAAUGAUGUAUACUUUCCAAUUUAUCUUACAACGUUAACAAAAAUGAAAUCCUGCUCUUAUGCAUAAAUUUAUGGUUACAAAAACUGUGUUUUACCAGGAAUUUCGUGUCAAGAGAAGGGAGGUGUUUGUUGAAAAGAACUUUGUCAAAUGUUUUGCAUAUUUGAGUAGUGAUUUAUGUCCAAACUAGUUUUUCUUUUUCACUUCCUUUAAUUUAUGACAAAAAAUUUGAUCUGAAUUGUUUGUGACUUUUCUUUUCUCCUUUGGUGUUGUCAGAAUUUGAUGGAUAGCAAUAGCUGGAGGCCUACUCCUCCCAGUGGAGAGCCCACUAUGGAUGCAGGUGAUUGGAGAACCCAGUUGCAGCCUGAUUCACGACAAAGAAUUGUUAACAAGAUGUAAGUGAAUUUUGUGGUCUUAUUAUUUGUUAAAUAUACUUGUUGUAUUUAAGUUACUGAUAUUCUGUGGAUUGUCUUUCAUAGUUUUUCAAUAUUGUUAAUAACCAAACAAUACCAUCAAUAAAACCAUAUUUCCUAUUCCUUAGCGCUUUCUUUGUUUUGUAAAUACAUAGCUCGAGAAUCAAAGCUUGCUCUUACCCAGAGUUUGGGCACAAUAUAUAGGCCACGUAUCUGGAAGCCUGAUGUGGCUAAGCUAUUGGGUCCAAUUCUGUGUGGCAUACUUGGUAUCGACAUUUAAUGAAUUUAUGUGAUUGAAUGAGGAUAAAUUUUGCUUUUAAAUCUUUUGCUUCUUGUAAGCUUGGGACUUGUUUUCUUAUUUGAGUGCUACUGUAUAUGGAUUGAUGGUUCUCUUUUCUUCUUACUAACUGAGUUAUACCCAUUCAUUAAAUAACUUAUAGCUGUAACAGACACUAGUGGCCUUGCUUUUCUACAUCAUUUUAUAAACAAUGGUAAUUUUGGUACGUGGUCUAUUUGAAUGUAGCUGAUAUAUGAAGGUCAUGAUGGCCACUUUGUUUAUUUGGGAGAACUUUGUUAAAUUCCUAUGCCGUGGCUUCUGGAUAUUUGAAUGAUACAGUCCUGAACAAGUUAAUGAGGAAAAUCUUUUGGUGGUCAGAUUAUAUCCUGGUUAAUUUUCAUUUGAUUUUAUGUUAACUUCGCAAUUUGGUCAUGGCAUUGUUUUAUUAACCAUGGAAGAUUCUUAUAUAUAUCCUAUUGGUUUGUCAAUAACUUACACAAUGCCUUGUGUGCAUAGAAUGGACACAUUGAAGAGGCACCUUCCAUUUUCUGGCCAAGAGGGUUUAAAUGAACUCAGGAAAAUCGCAUUAAGGUUCGAGGAAAAGAUUUUUACAGAAGCAAACAGCCAGGUAAUCAUAGAAUAUCGGCAUUCCUUAACCUGCUUGGAUGCAUUGUUGUUUACCUAUAUUUUGUUUGUUUGCGUUGUGUGUAUGUAUCUUUGUGUUUCUUUUUUUUUCUUAUUCAUAUGUGUAGACAUGCAUACACCUAGACUUCUUGUCAAUUACAUUGGAAGUAAAUAAGAAAGAAAUCCAGGGAGGAAAGAGAGCAGAGGUAGGAAAAAACAAAGAUGCUAGAUGCUAACUCAUUAUUAAGCAUGGUUAAUAUAACAUAUUCGAUAAUCUUGUCUUGUAUUUGAAUAAUGAAGUAAAGCUUGUUUACUCUAAUGCCGUAAUGGAUUUCUAUAUUCAGUCUGAUUAUCUGAGGAGAAUAUCCUUGAAGAUGCUUACUAUGGAGAACAAGUCUCAGAAUACUAUGCCCAACUUUGGGAAUAACAGCAAGCCCCCUGAUCCAGGUAAUAGCAGGAAACAGCAUUUUGCUUUGAUGUAUUCUACAAGUAGGACAUUUUCCGUUUACAUGUCCUUUCUGUUCUUUAACACGCAGAGUUGUUUAACUUGCAACAUUUAUGCACAUAUUCUUUCUGCAGCUAUUUGAAUGAAAAUUACCUAUAUUUUAACUCUUUUGUCCCCUUAACAAAGCGUGGUUGUUUUGGUGGGUUGGAGUUGUUUAAGGGAUUGAUUUGAUGAACACCCAAACAGAAAGGCCUAUUUGCUGUUCCCAUGAUUGUAGUCUUUCUGCAUGGGAUGCACCUCUUCAUGUGCUAGGCCUAGGAAUAAUUUUAUUAUUUUUUCAUGAUCCUUAUGGUAUGAUUCAAUUGCCCUCACCUGUUUUAAGUCUAGUCAUCGUUUUGAAUGAAUUAAUUACUGCUUCAGUAUUUUUGUUGUUUAUCUUGUUCUAAAUGUACUUCAAUUCAGUUAAUGUGGGUUCUUCCCAACUUUUCUUUCUGAAUAUAAAAAUCUUGGGUAGGUUCUCAGGGCAUGCAAAACCAAGUUCACAGUCAAGGGCAAUCAAUUCCUAUCCCAUUACAAAGUAAUCAGUCUCAAGCACGUCAACAACUAUUACCCCAGAGUGUUCCAAAUAACAUGUCAUCUGCUGGAGUUCAAAGUUCUACUGGUUUACAAUCUGGGAUGCCUUCUGUCUCUGGACCAACCCAGAAUUCUAUACCUGAUGUUGUUGGCCAGAAUUCCAACAUGCAAAACUUGUCUGAAAUUUCACAGAACUCACUGGGGCAAGGGAUAUCUUCCAAUAUUUUUACUAUUCAGCAGAGGCAAAUGCAAGGAAGGCAACGGGUGCUACUGCAACAGCAGCAGCAGCAGCAGCAGCAACUAUACCCUCAGCAGUUACAACAGCAACUUAUGAAGCAAAAGAUUCAACAAGGAAAUCUCCAGCCUUCACUUAUGCAGUUUCACAUGCCGCAACAGCAACAGCAAAACCUGUUACCACCUACUCAGUUGCAAUCUUGCUUGCAAUCUGGUAUGCAAACAUCAUCCGUUAUGCAGCCAUCUGCCAUGCAAUCAACUCCUCUUACUGGUCUUCAAAAGAAUCAACAAUCUUCUCUACAAGAGUCAAUACAGUCCAUGCUUCAACAGCAUCAACAGCCGCAAUCGGCCACCAGUGUUGGUAUUCUUCAACAACAAACAGCAAUGACACAGCAGUCAAUGAUGCCUCAGCAGCAGCAACAGCCUCCACAGCCACAGCAACAGCUGCAGCAGCCAAACAUAAUGGGACAACAGACAAAUGCUGCAAAUAUAAAGCAAAAUCAGUUAAUUGGACAACAAAAUAGCAUUGUGGACAUGCAGCAGCAGAGAUUGCUAGGCCAGCCUAAUAAUCUUCCAAACCUGCAGCGGCAGCAGCAGCAGCAUCAGUUAAUGGCUAAACAAAACCUCUCAAAUAUCCAUCAGCAACAGUUGGGUCCUCAAAGUAAUAUUUCAGGAUUACAGCAACAGCAGCAGCAGCAAUUGAUUGGAACCCAGUUGGGUAACUCAAGCAUGCAAACUAAUGAGCACAUGCUACCCCAGCCUAAGGUUUCACUCCAACAAACGCAGCAGAGUGCACCUAAUUUGUUACCAACUCAACGACAGACAUCCCAGCAGCCAGCAGCCAGCAGCAGCAGCAACAGCAACUGAUGUCACAGAUGCAAUUACAGUCUACUCAGCUGCAGCAACAAUUGGGUUUGCAAACAGCAGCCCAAUCAAUUACACCAAAAUAUGCAGCCAAGGCUUCACGCAUCAGGUCAACUAUCAUGUUCCUUGCUUCAAUCACAAAAUUUGAUAGAUCAGCAAAAGCAUUUGUAUCAAUCGCGCAGAGCUGUUCCAGAGACAUCAUCAAGUAUGUUUUUGAAUGUUUGCAGUUGCUUACUUUGUUCUUUCCUUGUUUCUUUCUGAUCUUGUGUUAUUUAACUAAUCUAUGCAAUUUUUUCCUCUGAUACUAGCACAUUUUAUCCUUGAAGCCUGAAAAAAAUCUAUUUUCUCAUAUAGCUACUAUAGUUGAUGCUAUUGUUUUUCAUUGCAUUUCUAUUACAGAAAAUAAUUUCCAUUCCAACUUGGGGGGAUUAAGAGAAUAUCUUUUUGAACUUGCACUACGUUGUCCUAUCAAAGCACAUUUUGCCUAGAUGAUUAGUUCUUAGCUAACAAAGACAAAUGCUACCAAAAUUAAUGGCACCCUUGCCUUCAUAAGCUGAUCAUGGGCACUGCCUGGCUUUUUAUGCCACCAGAAACAUUGUUGUUACUGUGGAAAACUCAGAAAUAAAACUGUGGAAAUCUAAGAGUAAAAACUGAAUGUUUAUUGAAAAAUUACACAUUAAGAAUUAUACAAGAACCUUAGUUUAUAUACAAUUAACUAGGGGUUCAACUGGGAAACUAAAUCUUCCUAAAAACUGAUCCUAUGAUUGAGGGAUUGUCUAUCAUUAUCCUUAAUUCUAGGGAUACAAAUACUUAAUUCUAGAGAUACAAAAAUUAAUAUACAGAUUACAAGAUUCCGUGUCACUGCUAAGUUUCCACUGCUGUCACUGUGCUAUUAUGUUACUUUUAACACUCACUCUAGUUAUUAUGCAAUGAUUUUGUCAAACCACAAAGCAAUGGCUGGAUUUAAUCUAUUCAUUUUAUCAACAAAUAAUUCAUGCUGUUUUAUUCAACGAGUUUUCAUGUUUGGCUAUAAAACAUUCUUCUGGAAAUAAGUAAACUGUGUUUUGUGUGCAAAGAGAAGUGACCAUUUUGUUGGUUAAGCUCAAAGAGCAGAAACAAAAUGCAUAAACUCACUCAUACCCCUCAUAUUCAUUUGAAUUUUAGAAUAGUCAGAUAUUUCUAGCAGCUUGUUUGAUUAUGUCGGGUUGGUGUGAUUCCUUUGUCCGACUUAAAUAUUGUUGUUCUUUCUUGUAAUCUAGCUUUCAAAAAUGUUCCCACCACUUAAUUUAACAAAAAAUUAUGAUUAGGAGAUUGCAGUCCUGAUUGAGAACAGCUAGUUACUGUUUUUGCAUCAAAAUAGAGGGUAAACAUGCUUGCAAAUGUCAGAGGAGUUUUGUUUGAAUGAAGAAUGCAUAACGAAUGACUAGAUAAGCAAGAGGGUGACAGCGAGCUGGUUCAUGCAUGCAUGAAAUGGUUAAAAGGGUGUCAAAACUCAAAAUUGUCUUAGUAGUGUUUUGAUUUAGUCUAACGGCUUUUAUUGAAACAUUAAAUUUGUGCUGUAGAAAUAAUUAAGUUCUAUAUGAACCCUAUAUUCCUUGAGUCUAAUUUGUUCCCUAAAUUUUUUUAGUACUUGAGUUUGACUCGCCCUUAUUUGCUUGACAUAUUUAUUUUUAAUGAAUAACAAGUCUGUAGCAGAAAAUAGUUUAACUUUUUUUAGGUUUUCCUUCUCAUGAACACUUAAACUUAUCUAUCAUUUACUCCUGUUCCAACUGAACUUCUUUUUUGUAGAUGGCAAAUGUAUAGUUAGCUUUUAACUUGAGAAACUCUAUAAGUAGCCUUGAAAAAUAAGAAAGAUGUUUGAACUUGGAAUUUGUCUCUCUGUGUCACUAUGGAAAGUCAAAAUUAAAAAAUUUUCUACUUUUGUAAGCGUACAUCUUAGAAUAUCCCAAAAGUAAAAGGCAGUGAAAACGGGGUGUAGGGAGCAUGUUUUUAAUGAGUAACCUCUAAAAUUUGGAUACGCAUGGUUAGUUGCAGAAACUAGCAAUAAAAUUUUCUCAUAUGUCAAUGUCCAAAAUGUUUAAUGGUUUCUUCAAAUGCCUUUCAGUUGUAACCCGUGGUGGGUCUGAUGGAAUUUUGGGACAUAGGAAUUGAUUAUUGGUUGCAUUAUGAACCCUGUCGAUAUCCCGAUCAAUGCUAUGUGUACUUUAAUUUGCUUUCAGAGUUGGUUGUUUUCUGCUCAUAAUUUACCCGUCUUCCAUAAAUUAUCUAUUUCAAUGUUCUGUUACAUAUGCAACAAAAUAAUGUACCUUCACGCGUAUGGAACAAUUUUCUUUCAUUUAAAUUAUGUUUUCCUUGCGUAUUCUUCUUCCUUCAUAAAUUUCCAUUUUUCUUAUGUGUGUAGAAUUUAUUUAUCCUUUUCUUUUAGCAUCUUUAGAUUCCACAGCUCAAUCAGGACAUGCAAAUGGGGGUGAUUGGCAAGAAGAGGUCUAUCAGAAGGUAAAAACUAUCUUGACUUAUUCUCCUAUAGAUAUUAUUACAGUUUCAACUUGGUUUUAAGAAGGUUUUAGGUGUAGGAAAGUGGUUCUGAAAAAGAAUAUUAGAGUAUGUUGGGAUGCAUCUCAUAGCAGGAACCAUAAAACUGAAGAAGUAGGAACUUAAAACAAAUUUGGUAAAAGAAAUUCAGACAUUUUCUGAAUUACUUAUUACUUUGUUAAUAAGAACUUGAAUUCUUUUGGCUUGUUCUUAGAAGAAAGAAAAUAAAGUUUAUUUAAAUCCUUCAGCUCUCUACUAAAGAUCCAUUAAAAUUGGUGAGCAAGAAACCUAAGACCAAGGGUAUCUUGCAUACUUGCCUUCAAAGUAAUCAUCAUUUAUCGACACCUUUGUUUCUUCUGUUAUUGACUAAUAUCAGUGCCUGCUAGUCGGAAAAUGGAAAAAUCUUGUUACUUUUCUAAUAAAUCAUGACACUGGGAUAAAUUGAGUGGUUUAAUUGUUGGUUAAGCAUUCUGUUCCUGAUUUUAUGUUGCAGAUCAAGGCCAUGAAAGAGACAUACUUACCUGAAUUAAAUGAGAUGUACCAGAAAAUUGCUGCCAAGUUGCGGCAGGUAUGUUUAUUCUUUUACAUAAUCAUAUAUAUUCAUUCCCUAACCUCCAAGGAGUGAUAGAACCCAUCUGCCCCGUAGUCUGCCACCCUGUGUCUCUAAAUAGAAUUUAGAGAGGACUUUACUGUUCCACAUUAGAAAGCUGUUGAACCCAUACCACUUUUGGGUUGCUACUCGAAUCCCCUUACCAUAGACACUGUUUAGUGGUUGCACUUAUGCAUAUUUGUUGUAAUAGUUGUUUGUAGUUUUACUGGCAUCAGUUAAAACAAUUUUAUGUGUACCAUUUUCCAGCAUGAUUCUCUUCCACAGCAGCCAAAGUCAGAGCAGCUUGAAAAGUUGAAAAUGUUCAAGAUCAUGUUGGAGCACGUUAUAUCUUUCUUAUCAGUUCCCAAAGCCAGUAUCGCACCCACUUUCAAGGAUAAGUUGAGUUUGUAUGAGAAGCAGAUAGUAAAUAUUUUAAAUACCAAUAGGCCAAGGAAGGCAGUCUCAGCACUGCAGCAAGGACAGCUUCUUCCACCUGAUAUGCAUUCCAUGCCGCAGCCACAACCUCAAAUUAAUCAGACACAGUCUCAUGAUAAUCAAAUGAUCCCUCAGUUGCAGUCAACGAAUUUACAAGGUUUUGUUCCAACAAUGCAGCCGAACAACAUGACAAGUUUGCAGCAUAAUUCUGUGUCUUCCUUACCUGGGGUUGCAACAGCGCAGCAGACCAUGUUAAAUUCGCUGCACCCCAGUUCCAAUUUGGAUGCGGGACAAGGUAAUGCCCUAGGCUCAAUGCAGCAGGCUGCUGCAGGACCUUUACAACAGAAUCCUGUGAGUACCUCCCAACAGGCAAAUAUUAACAGUUUAUCUUCACAAAGUGGGUUAAGUGUCCUGUUGCAAAACACGAAUCCUUUUCAGUCAAAUUCCAACAUGCUUCAGCACCAGCAUAUGAAACAACAGCAGGAACAGCAAAUGCUGCAGUCACAAAUGUACAAACAACAGUUUCAACUGCUUCAGAUGCAGCGGAAGCUGCGGCUACUGCAACAGCUACAGCAACAGCAACAAAAGCAGCUGCAUGAAAUGGAUGAUAUAAAUGACGUGAACAUGAGACAGGGAAUCGGUGUUAAUCCUGGGGUUCUUCAAGCAAAUCUCUCAACUGACCAACUUCCAGGUUAUUCAUAUGAGCAUUCAAAACCUAGUGUCCAAUUUCAUACAUCUUCCACCCCCCGCUCUUUCAGGCUCCAUUUGUCCGCACCUACUUCAAUCCCCCGUUGGAGUCCAUAUCCCUCGCCUGAGAACACUGAGAAAUCUAUCUAUGGCGCUUCCUCUCUGUCAAAUAACAAAAAUAUUAGUCAGCAGCAAGGAAAGAUCUGAAUUCCCUGCACUGACACACUUGGUAAUGGUAAUGGUCAACAUCACCUUUGCUUACUGUGUUCGAAAAUGCUAAUGAUGCUCACAGUAUUGCUUUAACAACUGAUUUUGGCAAGUCGAAGGUUACAGAACUGCCACAUGAUCCCCAGAGUUACCAUGGUUAGUGAAGCUUAAUUAAUUUUCAUUGUUCACAUUAUCUUUUUCAAUUUGCUCCUUUGGCUUGAUAUGUUGUUCAUGUAGUGAAAGAGUGGAAAAAAACCUUGAAAUCCUUCCUUUUUUUUUUUCCUUCUAUUUGACUUUAAUCUUCUAAUAUAGUUUGUUUUAGCUUUUGAAAUGAUGUUGGUUCUAUUACUAUUUUAUAAAGUUUCAGGCAAAACCCAUGUCACUUAAAUCAUUGGAGGCAUCCGUUGUGACCAUGGUUGAUGAGGCAAGCCUCUGCAAGUUGGUGUGGAUGUGGCCGCCACGAGCAAGGGUGGUUUGCGUCGAAGAAGUUUCUUUCCACAAAGUGGAAUGACUGGAGCCGAGAAAAUGAGAUUCUACAUGAGUGCACUGUCUAUGUUAGCUCUAAUGUUUUGGUUCGUUAUAAUAACAUCUGCAUGAGCAGUAGCAAACAAAUUUCCAAAGCUUUUUAUGCUUGGGUAAAAGAGGAAAGGCCCAUUGGUUAUAGCAUGGAUUUCUCUUGUAAGGAGUCAAGAUGAUACUAUUACGACAAAUUGUUGGCAGGUGUUUGCUUAUUUAAAGGUUUUUGAACUUGUUUACAUUCCUAUGAAAUAUAUUAGGAGAUGCAUGCAUCAAAGUUCAUGCCGUUUAAGCCUCAGUGCAUGCCGUUUCUGACCAAUCUAGCCAUGUAAUAACACUAGUUAUCUUACUAAACACAUAAUUUGACCCUAGCUUUUUUUAUCGAGUGACAAGGGUGUUUAGGGUUUUAUGUUUGGGUCGAUCUAAGGUUAUCCAAUACCUUUAGGUGAAGAGCCAUCUAGAUUAGAAAUACCUAGAUGUAAUAAGAGAUAAUGAUCACUUUUAUUUUUCAAUAGGAAAGAGAGAAAAAGAAGGUGAAGUUGGUAUUGAUUUGACGAAAUGUCACAUUUGUAGUCAAAUUUGCUAAAUAUUCAUUGAUGGAAGUGGACCCUUGCAUGUGCUGCCUACACAAAUGGUCCCUUUUUAUUGUUUAAGAUUCUUAAUCACUAAAGGAUUUUUCUUUUCUUUUCUUUUUUUUUUUUAAUAAUAUCAUUAUGACUAUGCUUAGAUUUUGUGGAAAUUUAAUUUUUUAGAUAAUUUUAAGAAUAUAUUUUUUCAUAUAAAUCUCAUGUAUAUACUUUUUUUUAUUUCAAAAUGUCAUUUAUUAAUUUUUAACAAAAUUUAAGAAAAAUUUUAGAUUUUAGUGUGUUUAAUUUUAAAAUUUAAAAUUUUUUUAUAAAUUAAAGUUUUAUGACUUUUAAUGUCAAAAAGUUAAAAAAAUCAUAAAAUUUAAUUUUAAAAUAUAAAAAUAAAAAUUUUAAAUGUUAAAAAAAUCCAACAUAAUUUGAGACAUUUCAAAAAGGAAAGAUUGAAAAAAAAUAGGACAAAAGGAAUAUGAUUUUAUUUUUAUAUAUUUUUCAUAAAAAUAGAAUCCUAAUUAAUACGAAUAAAAAUGUAAAAAAAAAAAAAAAAAACAACCAUAGAAAUCCGAACUUGGAAGGAAAAAAAAAAAAGAUUAAGUGGGCAACUUCAACAUGCAAGGUUCGCACUAGUAAAUUCCACAUGUUACCAUGUAAUUGUAACCUAACCAUUUUCACUAAAAGUACUACAAUAUUUUGAUUUUAAGUGAUUACUUUUGAUUAAAUGUGUAAAUAAUACAUUAAUAUUUUUAAGUUAUUCGAGUUCGAUUCGAAUAAAAUUUGAAUUCGGUUCAAUUAUUAUGUAGUCGAGUUCGAGCUCGAUUAGUUCGAUUCAUCGAUCGAAUCGAGUUCGAGUAUUUUUAUACUUAGCUCGAGUAACUCGCGAGUUUAAUCGAAUUUUUAUAUUUAAAUUUUAUUUAUUAUUUUAAUUAAUAAAAUAUCUCGAAUUCGAGUUCGAACUCGAGCAUAAAUAAUUGAGCUCUUAUCGAGUAUAAGAAUCAAGCUUAUUUUUAUAUAUUUUCGAGCUUAAUCGAACGAGUUCGAGUAAUUUAAAUUCGAUCACAAAUCGAAUUCAAGAUAAAAAAAUGAAUCUUGAUCGAAUUCGAACUGAAUAUCGAGUCACGAGUUGAAAAUCAAGCUAUAAUUUAAAUUUUUUAUUGUAUCGAUUUGACUCUUACUUUUAACAAUGAAUUUACGUGAUUGAACGAGGAUAAAUUUUACUUUUAGAUCUUUUGCUUCUUGUAAGCUUGGGACUUGUUUUCUCAUUUGAGUGCUACAGUAUAUGAAUUGAUGGUUCUCUUUUCUUCUUACUAACUGAAUUAUACCCAUUCAUUAAAUAACUUAUAGCUGUAACGGACACUAGUGGUCUUGCUUUUCUAUAUCAUUUUAUGAACGAUGGUAAUUUUGGUAUGUGGUCUAUUUGAAUGUAGCUGAUAUAUGAAGGUCAUGAUGGCCACUUUGUUUAUUUGGGAGAACUUUGUUAAAUUCCAAUGCCAUGGCUUCUAGAUAUUUGAAUGAGACAGUCCUGAACAAGUUAAUGAGGAAAAUCUUUUGGUGGUCAGAUUAUAUCCUGGUUAAUUUUCAUUUGAUUUUAUGUUAACUUCACAAUUUGGUCAUGGCAUUGUUUUAUUAACCAUGGAAGAUUCUUAUAUAUAUCCGUUUGGUUUGUCGAUAACUUACACAAUGCCUUGUGUGCAUAGAAUGGACACAUUGAAGAGGCACCUUCCAUUUUCUGGCCAAGAGGGUUUAAAUGAACUCAGGAAAAUCGCAGUAAGGUUCGAGGAAAAGAUUUUUACAGCAGCAAACAGCCAGGUAAUCAUAGAAUAUUGGCAUUCCUUAACCUGCUUGGAUGCAUUGUUGUUUACCUAUAUUUUGUUUGUUUGCGUUGUGUGUGUGUAUCUUUGUGUUUCUUUUUUUUCUUAUUCAUAUGUAUAGACAUGCAUAUGUCACGGAUCGAGACUUAAGCUCCGAACCCGCGCGGCUCUGGAACCUGGGCAUUCACCCUUUCGGCAUCCCAGAUCAGCCUUCCUGCCACGGUUCACACCCUUGUGAGGUAUUGUCCGCUCUGACCCCCUGACCUCACGGUUUUGUCCUACAAAAGGCGCUUCACAAGGCGGAGAUGGUGUGAACCCUUUUAUACUCCAGGGACCUUUCUAUUAUGUUCGAUGUGGGAUUCAGGACUCCCUCUUAGGUCCGUGACAUUUUCUCGUACCCAACCUCGUGACGCCCUCGUCACGGAGGCCGGCCACCCUGCCUACCUCCCUCGAGGUGCUUGGCGUGGAUCGAAAGGUUUAGGGCUGGCUCUGAUACCACUUGUCACAGGUCGAGACUUAAGCUCCGAACCCGUGCGGCUCCGGGACCCGGGCAUUCACCCUUCUGGCGUCCCAGAUCAGCCUUCCUGCCACGGUUCACACCCUUUUGAGGUAUUGUUUGUCACGGACCUAAGGAAGAGUCCUAAAUCCCACAUCGAACAUAAUAGGAGGGUCUCUGGGGUAUAAAAAAGUUCACACCACCUCUGCCUUGUGAGUCGCCUUUUGUAGGACAAAACCGUGAGGCCAAGGAGGCCAGAGCGGACAAUACCUCACAAGGGUGUGAACCGUGGCGGUCAGGCUGAUUCGGGAUGUCGGAAGGGUGAAUGCCCGAGUCUCGGAGCCGCGCGGGUUCGGAGCUUAAGUCUCGACCCGUGACAAGUGAUAUCAGAGCCAGCCCUAAACCGUUUGAUCCACGCCGAGCACCUCGAGGGAGGUAGGCAGGGUGGCCGACUUCCGUGAUGAGGGCGUCACGAGGUUGGGUGCGAGAGAAUGUCAUGGACCUAAGGAAGAGUCCUGAAUCUCACAUCGAACAUAAUAGGAGGGUCCCUGGGGUAUAAAAGGGUUCACACCACCUCCGCCUUGUGAGGCACCUUUUGUAGGACAAAACUGUGAGGUCAGGGGGGCCAGAGCGAACAAUACCUCAUAAGGGUGUGAACCGUGGCAGAUAGGCUGAUCCGAGACGCCGGAAGGGUGAAUGCCCAGGUCCCGGAGCCGCGCGGGUUCGGAGCUUAAGUCUCGACCCGUGACACCAACUGUCACGGGCUCCGACCUUAGACUCAGAAUCCGUGCGGCCUUAGGCUUGGAAUCUCCUCCUUUAUGCCUAAAUCAGCCUAAAACACAAGCGUGCGGGCACUAAAACAAUGGGAAUGGCUGAUUACGCAAGUUAAAGAAAAACAGGACAAAAAGACAGAAUUCUGGAAAUGCUCUUGUAUUCAUUGGUGUGAACCCUUUUAUACCCUAGUGACCUUCCUAUUAUGUUCGAUGUAAGAUUCAGGACUCUCUCUUAGGUCCGUGACAUUCUCCCGCACCCAACCUCGUGACGCCCUCGUCACGGAGGCUGGCCACCCUGCCUACCUCCCUCGAGGUGCUUGGCGUGGAUCGAACGGUUUAGGUCCGUGACAUUCUCCCGCACCCAACCUCGUGACGCCCUCGUCACGAAGGCUGGCCACCCUGUCUACCUCCCUCGAGGUGCUUGGCGUGGAUCGAACGGUUUAGGGCUGGUUCUGAUACCACUUGUCACGGGUCGAGACUCAAGCUCCGGGACCCAGGCAUUCACCCUUCCGGCGUCCCGGAUCAACCUUCCGUCACGGUUCACACCCUUGUGAGGUGUUGUCGGCUCCGGCCCCCCUGACCUCACGGUUUUGUCCUACAAAAGGCGCCUCACAAUGCGAAGAUGGUGUGAACCCUUUUAUACCCCAGUGACCUUCCUAUUAUGUUCGAUGUGGGAUUCAAGACUCCCUCUUAGGUCCGUGACACAUACACCUAGACUCCUUGUCAAUUACAUUAGAAGUAAAUAAGAAAGAAAUCCAGGGAGGAAAGAGAGCAGAGGUAGGAAAAAACAAAGAUGCUAAAUGCUAACUCAUUAUUAAGCAUGGUUAAUAUAACAUAUUUGAUAAUCUUGUCUUGUAUUUGAAUAAUGAAGUAAAGGCUGUUUACUCUAAUGCCGAAUGGAUUGCUAUAUUCAGUCGGAUUAUCUGAGGAGAAUAUCCUUGAAGAUGCUUACUAUGGAGAACAAGUCUCAGAAUACUAUGCCCAACUCUGGGAAUAACAGCAAGCCCCCUGAUCCAGGUAAUAGCAGGAAACAGCAUUUUGCUUUGAUGUAUUCUACAAGUAGGACAUUUUCCGUUUACAUGUCCUUUCUGUUCUUUAACAUGCAGAGUUGUUUAACUUGCAACAUUUAUGCACAUAUUAUUUCUGCAGCUAUUUGAAUGAAAAUUACCUAUAUUUUAACUCUUUUGUCCCCUUAACAAAGCGUGGUUGUUUUGGUGGGUUGGAGUUGUUUAAGGAUUGUUUUGAUGAGCACCCAAACAGAAAGGCCUAUUUGUUGUUCCCAUGAUUGUAGUCUUUCUGCGUGGGAUGCACCUCUUCAUGUGCUAGGCCUAGGAAUAAUUUUAUUAUUUUUUCAUGAUCCUCAUGGUAUGAUUCAAUUGCCCUCACAUGUUUUAAGUCUAGUUAUCUUUUUGAAUGAAUUACUGCUUCAGUAUUUUUGUUGUUUAUCUUGUUCUAAAUGUUCUUCAAUUCAGUUCUUGUGGGUUCUUCCCAACUUUUCUUUCUGAAUAUAAAAAUCUUGGGUAGGUUCUCAGGGCAUGCAAAACCAAGUUUACAGUCAAGGGCUAUCAAUUCCUAUCCAAUACAAAGUAAUCAGUCUCAAGCACGUCAACAACUGUUACCCCAGUGUGUUCCAAAUAACAUGUCAUCUGCUGGAGUUCAAAGUUCUACUGGUUUACAAUCUGGGAUGGCUUCUGUCUCUGAACCAACCCAGAAUUCUAUACCUAAUGUUGUUGGCCAGAAUUCCAACAUGCAAAACUUGUCUGAAAUUUCACAGAACUCACUGGGGCAAGGGAAAUCUUCCAAUAUUUUUACUAUUCAGUAGAGGCACAUGCAAGGAAGGCAAUGGGUGCUACGGCAACAGCAGCAGCAACAACCAUACCAUCAGCAGUUACAACAGCAACUUAUGAAGCAAAAGAUUCAACAAGGAAAUCUCCAGCCUUCACUUAUGCAGUUUCACAUGCCGCAACAGCAACAGCAAAACCUGUUACCACCUACUCAGUUGCGAUCUUGCCUGCAAUCUGGUAUGCAAACAUCAUCCGUUAUGCAGCCAUCUGCCAUGCAAUCAACUCCUCUUACUGGUUUUCAAAAGAAUCAGCAAUCUUCUCUACAAGAGUCAAUACAGUCCAUGCUUCAGCAGCAUCAACAGCCACAAGCGGCCACCAGUGUUGGUAUUCUUCAACAACAAACAGCAAUGACACUGCAGUCAAUGAUGCCUCAGCAGCAGCAACAACCUCCACAGCCACAGCAACGGCUGCAGCAGCCAAACAUAAUGGGACAACAGACAAAUGCUGCACAUAUAAAGCAGAAUCAGUUAAUUGGACAACAAAAUAGCAUUGCGGACAUGCAGCAGCAGAGAUUGCUAGGCCAGCCUAAUAAUCCUCCAAACCUGCAGCAGCAGCAUCAGUUAAUGGCUCAAGAAAACCUCUCAAAUAUCCAUCAGCAACUGUUGGGUCCUCAAAGUAAUAUUUCAGGAUUACGGCAACAGCAGCAGCAGCAAUUGAUUGGAACCCAAUUGGGUAACUCAAGCAUGCAAACUAAUGAGCACAUGCUACCCCAGCCUAAGGUUUCACUCCAACAAAGGCAGCAGAGUGCACCUAAUUUGUUACCAACUCAAGGACAGACAUCCCAGCAGCCACAGCAGCAGCAGCAGCACUGAUGUCACAGAUGCAAUUAAAGUCUACUCAGCUGCAGCAACAAUUGGGUUUGCAAUAGCAGCCCAAUCAAUUACACCAAAAUAUGCAGCCAAGGUUUCAUGCAUCAGGUCAACUAUCAUGUUCCCUGCUUCAAUCACAAAAUUUGAUAGAUCAGCAAAAGCAAUUGUAUCAAUCGCGCAGAGCUAUUCCAGAGACAUCAUCAAGUAUGUUUUUGAAUGCUUGCAGUUGCUUACUUUGUUCUUUCUUUGUUUCUUUCUGAUCUUGUGUUAUUUAACGAAUCUAUGCAAUUUUUCCUCUGAUACUAGCACAUUUUAUCCUUGAAGCCGGAAAAAAAUCUAUUUUCCCAUAUAGCUACUAUAGUUGAUGCUAUUGUUUUUCAUUGCAUUUCUAUUACAGAAAAUAAUUUCCAUUCCAACUUGGGGGGAUUAAGAGAAUAUCUUUUUGAACUUGCACUACGUUGUCCUAUCAAAGCACAUUUUGCCUAGAUGAUUAGUUCUUAGCUAACAAAGACAAAUGCUACCAAAAUUAAUGGCACCCUUGCCUUCAUAAGCUGAUCAUGGGCACUGCCUGGCUUUUUAUGCCACCAGAAACAUUGUUGUUACUGUGGAAAACUCAGAAAUAAAAUUGUGGAAAUCUAAGAGUAAAAACUGAAUGUAUAUUGAAAAACUGCUCAUUAAGAAUUAUACAAGAACCUUAGUUUAUAUACAACUAACUAGGGGUUAAACUAGGAAACUAAAUCUUUCUAAAAAUUGAUCAUAUGAUUGAGGGAUUGUCUAUUAUUGUCUUUAAUUCUAGGGAUACAAAUACUUAAUUCUAGAGAUACAAAAAUAAAUAUACAGAUUACAAAAUUACAACCAGCUGUAAAUAAGUGUUUUCUCACACCCCCCCUCAAGCUAGUGAAUGGGUGUUUUCCAUUCCCAACUUGGAAAUAAUUUCUUGAAAUAUUGCACUGCUGAGACAUUUAGUCAACACUUCUGUAAGUUGAUCCUUGGUUGAUACAUAAGGUGUACAAAUCAACCCACUGUCUAGUUUCUCUUUUAUGAAAUGCCGGUUUACUUCAAUGUUUUUUGAUCUGUCAUUGGUCCAUCCCACUUGAUAUUCAAGUCUUCUAGAAUAAUUUUUAACCAUAGUAGUUCACAAAUUCCUUGAGCCAUUGUUCUGAACUCUGCUUCAGCACUUGAUCUUGCAACCACAUUUUGUUUUAUACUCCUCCAAGUCACGAGAUUACCACUUAAGAAAGUGCAGUAGCUUGAUGUGGAUCUUCUAUCAGUAGCUGAACUUGUAUAAUCAACAUCUAUAUAUGUUUCUAGAACUAGCCCCGAAUUUCUUUUGAAUAAGAUACCUCUCCCAAGAUUGGCCUUCAAAUAAUGUAAUACACGGUAAACAGCCUGUAGGUGCACUUCUUUAGGACUAUGUAUGAAUUGACUUACCACACUCACAACAUAUGCUAUAUCAGGUCUAGCAUGUGAGAGAUAAAUGAGUCUUCCAAUUAAUCUUUGAUACAUCUCUCUAUCUACAGCAGCAUCUUCAUUAGCUUAUCCAAUUUUAUGAUUAAGAUCUAUAGGGGUAUUUACAGGUUUACAUGCGAGCUUCUCAGUUUUCUUCAGAAGAUCCAUCACAUAUUUCUGUUGUGAGAUGAAAAUAUCAUGCCGUGAGUGAGCUACUUCAAUUCCUAGGAAUUUUUUUAAUCUUCCUAGCUCAUCUAUCUCAAAUUCCCUAGCUAAAUACAAUUUUAGAGAUUUUCUCUCUUUUUUAUCAUCUCCAGUUACAAUUAUAUCAUCAACAUACACUAAUAGAAUUGUGACUCUCCCUGAAUUAGAGUGUUUGAUAAACAAUGUGUGAUCUCCUUGACUCUGUUUAUAUCCUAUUGCUAGCAUCACUUUGACAAAUCUCUUGUACCAGACCCUAAGAGACUGUUUAAGGCCAUAUAAAGCCUUUUUCAGUUUGCAUACUUUGUUUGCUUGUAGAUGACCUCCAAAUCCCGAUGAAACCUUCAUAUAUAUUUCUUCUUCCAAAUCUCCAAGUAGAAAAGCAUUUUUUACAUCAAAUUGUUGAAGCUACCAAUUGUAAUUUGCAGCCAAUGAUAACAAAAUCUUAACUGUAUUCAUCUUGGCAAUUGAAGCAAAGGUUUUCUGAUAAUCCACUCCAUAGGUUUAAGUGUAGCCCUUAGUCACUAAUCUGGCUUUAUACCUUUCAACAUUACCAUUUGCCUUGUAUUUUACAGUGAAAACCUAUUUACGUCCUCCUGACUUUUUUCUUUUAGGCAACUCUACCAGUUCUCAUGUCUUAUUUUUCUCUAAGGUCUCCAUUUUUAUUUUCAUGGAUUACCUCCAUUUUUCACUAAAUAAUGUCUCGGAUAAUGUAGUUGGAACAAAAAUAGUGUUUAGGCUCACUAAAAAAUUUUUGUAGAAUGAUGAGAAUUUUUCAAAUGGCACAAAAUUAGAGAUUUGGUAUAGUGACUGCUUAGUACAUUCUUUGGUUUCUUUCUUAAUGGCAAUAGAAAGAUCAUAAUCACUUGUUAUAGUUUUAAGAGAUUCAUGCUCAUUUUGAAAAAUAGAGUCAAAACUGUAGUUACCUCAUUUCUAGAGUUAAGAACAAGUUCUUAGUCUGGCAUUGGUUCAGGAUCUGAAACUUUUCUUCUUGAGUACAUUUGUAAUCCCUUCAUAGAAUCAAGAACAAUAUUAUCCUUUGUCACAUCUUCUGUGUUUGAAAUGGGUUCAGACUCAAAUUCAGUGUUUGACUUGGGCUCAGCAGAAACAGGUUUCCACUUAAGAAAAUUAAUGGGUGAAAAUGUUGAAGAGAAGGACAAAUUAAACAAAAAGAAGUCUUUAUCAUUAUCUUCCAUGAAUGAAGUCUCUCCCUGAAGAUAAAGUUGAGUAAAAAAUGGUUUACUUUCUUCAAAAGAGACAUCUGCAGAUACAUAUAAUUUUUUGGUAGGAAGAUGAUAACACUUAUACUUUUUCUGAGUCACAAAGAUACACUUAAUUGCUCUUGGAUGCAAUUUUCUUUUAUUAUGACUGUGAACAUGAACAAAUGAUGUACAACCAAAUAUCCUAGGUGUGAGGUUGUUUGGGUAUUGAGGUUGGGAUAGAAUUUUGAAAGUAGUUCCAUAGGAGUUUUAAAUCUUAAAACCUUUGAAGGUAACCUAUUUAUAAUGUGUGUGGCAAUGAGAACAGCUUUCCUUCUAGUAAGAUUUGGAUACAUUUGCUUAAAAAAGGAAGGCUCGGGUUGUGACUAGUAAAUCGUUAUUUUUUCUUUCUGCCACUCCAUUCUGCUCUGGAGUAUUAACACAAUAUGGCCCAUGAAUAAUCCUCUCUUUUUGAAAAUAAGUGGAUAGACUCUAGUUGAAAUAGUCUCUUGUAUUAUCAGACCUAAAUCUCAUGAUUCUCUUCAAAUUGAUUUUGGAUCAUGUUUUGGAAGCUUAAAAAUAUACUAUUCAUAUCUGAUUUGGAUUUAAAUAAAAAACUCAAAAGAUCCUGGUACAAUCAUCUAUGAAUGAAACAAAUCAUUUUGCACUAGAAAUAUUAGAAAUUGUAGAGGAACCCUAAAUGUCUCUAUGAAUCAAGUAAAAAAGAGUAGAACUUCUUUUGUUACUAAUUGAAAAAGACACACGUCUGUGCUUUGCAAGUUCACAAACAUCACAAUGAAAAUCUUUGAUGUUUAAUCCAUUGAACAAAGAAGGAAACAUGUUUUACAAAGUUCCAAAAGAAGGAUGUCUAAGACGAAAAUGAUAAAGCUAGAUUUUGUCUUUAGUGAAAGAUUUUUCAGAAAAAAAUGACAAAGGUAAAUUAUUCUUGAUAUUACUUGUGUUGUUUGAUGUCUCAAGAUGGUAUAGUCUAUCCUUCUCUUUAGCAAGUCCAAUCUUUUUCUCCGAACUCUGGUGCUGAAAUUCACAAUAAGAGGGAUAAAAAAUCACUUUACAGUUCAUAUCUUUGGUAAGUUUUUGUGUAGAUAUCAUAUUAGUAGACAAUCCAAGAAUAUGAAAAAUAUUUUUUAGAACAAAUGAGGGAUUAAUUUGAACAUCUCUUAAUCCUACCACUGUAACAAGUGAACCAUCUGUAACAACAAUUUUCUUAUUACUAGAACACAUGUUGUAUGUACUAAACUUCUGUGAAGAAUGUGUCAUAUAGUCCAUGGCUCAUGAGUCAAUGACUCAAGAACUCGUAAUAGGCUUAACCAAGACAUUUAAUCCAUGAGAACCAAAAAUUUUACCUGAACUAGAGACCUUACUCAAGGAACAUACUACAGUAGGCUUUUCAAGGGUUCAAUAGCUUUUUCAGCUUUUCAAUCUCUUCGCUGUUCAACUCUCAUUGUUUUCGAGACAUCUAUAAUACUUCAGUAAUUUUUUCAAUUGACAUUUUCUCAAAUUGGGUGGUGGUGAUAUCUUUCUUUGAACUGAAAGAAGUCUUAAGAUAUAAUUAGAAAUAACUCUUAGCAAUGAAGGCUGAAGAAGAGAAAAAUAAAAUGGUUAUGAAGGCUUUAACAGGGUUUGGCAAUGAAGGCCUAAGCAGGGUUCGACAAUGAAGGCCUAAAAAUAAAAGUCUACAAUGAAGGUUGAAAAAUUUUGCUUCCCAAGAAGAGCCUAAAGCUCUGAUACUAUGUGAAAAACUUAGAAAUAGAGCUAUGUGAAAAACUAAGAGUAAAAACUGAAUGUAUAUUGAAAAACUGCUCAUUAAGAAUUAUACAAGAACCUUUGUUUAUAUACAACUAACUAGUGGUUAAACUAGGAAACUAAAUCUUCCUAAAAAUUGUUCCUAUGAUUGAGGGAUUGUCUAUCAUUAUCCUUAAUUUUAGGGAUACAAACACUUAAUUCUAGAGAUACAAAAAUAAAUAUACAGAUUACAAGAUUACAACCAACUGUAAAUAAGUGUUUUCCCACAGUUACCACUGUCACUGCUAAGUCUCCACUGUUGUCACUGUGCUAUUAUGUUACUCUUAACACUUACUCUAGUUAUUUUGCAAUGAUUUUGUCAAACCACAAAGCAAUGGCUGGAUUUAAUCUAUUCAUUUUAUCAACAAAUAAUUCAUGCUGUUUUAUUCAACGAGUUUUCGUGUUUGGCUAUAAAACAUUCUUCUGGAAAUAAGUAAACUGUGUUUUGUGUGCAAAGAGAAGUGACCAUUUUGUUGGUUAAGCUCAAAGAGUAGAAACAAAUGCAUAAACUCACUCAUGCCCUUCAUAUUCAUUUGAAUUUUAGAAUAGUCGGAUAUUUCUAGCAGUUUGUUUGAUUAUGUCGGGUUGGUGUGAUUCCUUUGUCCGACUUAAAUAUUGUUGUUCUUUCUUGUAAUCUAGCUUUUAAAAAUGUUCCCACCACUUAAUUUAACAAAAAAUUAUGAUUAGGAGAUUGCAGUCCUGUUUGAGAACAGCUAGUUACUGUUUUUGUAUCAAAAUAGAGGGUAAACAUGCUUGCAAAUGUCAGAGGAGUUUUGUUUGAAUGAAGAAUGCAUAACGAAUGACUAGAUAAGCAAGUGGGUGACAGCAAGCUGGUUCAUGCACGCAUGAUGGUUAAAAGGGUGUCAAAACUCAAAAUUGUCUUAGUAGUGUUUUUGAUUUAGUCUAACGGCUUUUUAUUGAAACAUUAAAAUUUGGCUGUAGAUUUAAUUAAGUUCUGGAUAUGACCUAUAUUCCUUGAGUCUAAUUUGUCCCCUAAAUUUUUUUUAGUACUUUAGUUUGGCUCGCCCAUUAUUUUGCUUGACAAUAUUAUUUUUAAUGAAUAACAACGUCUGUAGCAGAAAAUUAGUUAACUUUUUUUAGGUCUUCCUUCUCAUGAUCACUUAAACUUAUCUAUCGUUUACUCCUGUUCCAACUGAACUUCUUUUUAUAGAUGGCAAAUGUAUAGUUAGCUUGUAACUUGAGAAACUCUAUAAGUAGCCUUGAAAAAUAAGAAUGAUGUUUGAACUUGGAGUUUGUCUCUGUGUCACAAUGGAAAGUCAAAAUUAAAAAAUUUUCUACUUUUGUAAGUGUACAUCUUAGAAUAUCCCAAAAGUAAAAGGCAGUGGAAAUGGGGUGUAGCGAUCAUGUUUUUAAUGAGUAACCUCUAAAAUUUGGAUACGCAUGGUUAGUUGCAGAAACUAGCAAUAAAAUUUUCUCAUAUGUCAAUGUCCAAAAUGUUUAAUGGUUUCUUCAAAUGCCUUUCAGUUGUAAGUCGUGGUGGGUCUGAUGGAAUUUUGGGACAUAGGAAUUGAUUAUUGGUUGCGUUAUGAUCCCUGUCGAUAUCCCCAUCAAUGCUAUGUGUACUUUAAUUUGCUUUCAGAGUUGGUUGUUUUUUGCUCAUAAUUUACCCUUCUUCCAUAAAUUAUCUAUUUCAAUGUUCUGUUACAUAUGCAACAAAAAUAAUGUACCUUCAAGCGAAUGGAACAAUUUUCUUUCAUUUAAAUUAUGUUUUCCUUGCGUAUUCUUCUUCCUUCAUAAAUUUCCAUUUUUCUUAUGUGUGUAGAAUUUAUUUAUCCUUUUCUUUUAGCAUCUUUGGAUUCCACAGCUUAAUCAGGACAUGCAAAUGGGGGUGAUUGGCAAGAAGAGGUCUAUCAAAAGGUAAAAACUAUCUUGACUUAUUCUCCUAUAGAUAUUAUUACAGUUUCAACUUGGUUUUAAGAAGGUUUUAGGUGUAGGAAAGUGGUUCUGAAAAAGAAUAUUAGAGUAUGUUGGGAUGCAUCUCAUAGCAGGAACCAUAAAACUGAAGAAGUAGGAACUUAAAACAAAUUUGGUAAAAGAAAUUCAGACAUUUUCUGAAUUACUUACUACUUUGUUAAUAAGAACUUGAAUUCUUUUGGCUUGUUCUUAGAAGAAAGAAAAUAAAGUUUAUUUAAAUCCUUCAGCUCUCUACUAAAGAUCUAUUAAAAUUGGUGAGCAAGAAGCCUUAGACCAAGGGUAUCUUGCAUACUUGACUUCAAAGUAAUCAUCAUUUAUCGACACCUUUGUUUCUUUUGUUAUUAACUAAUAUCAGCGCCUGCUAGUCAGAAAAUGGAAAAAUCUUAUUAUUUUUCUAAUAAAUCAUGACACUGGGAUAAAUUGAGUGGUUUAAUCGUUGGUUAAGCAUUUUGAUCCUGAUUUUAUGUUGCAGAUCAAGGCCAUGAAAGAGACAUACUUACCUGAAUUAAAUGAGAUGUACCAAAAAAUUGCUGCCAAGUUGCGGCAGGUAUGUUUAUUCUUUUACAUAAUCAUAUAUAUUCAUUCCCUAACCUCCAAGGAGUGAUAGAACCCAUCUGCCCCAUAGUCUGCCACCCUGUGUCUCUAAAUAGAAUUUAGAGAGGACUUUACUGCUCCACAUUAGAAAGCUGUUGAACCCAUACCACUUUUAGGUUGCUACUUGAAUCCCCUUACCAUAGACACUGUUUAGUGGUUGCACUUAUGCAUAUCUGUUGUAAUAGUGGUUUGUAGUUUUACUUGCAUCAGUUGAAACAAUUUUAUGUGUACGAUUUUCCAGCAUGAUUCUCUUCCACAGUAGCCAAAGUCAGAGCAGCUUGAAAAGUUAAAAAUGUUCAAGAUCUUGUUGGAGCACAUUAUAUCUUUCUUAUCAGUUCCCAAAGCCAGUAUCUUACCAACUUUCAAGGAUAAGUUGAGUUUGAAUGAGAAGCAGAUAGUAAAUUUUUUAAAUACCAGUAGGCCAAGGAAGGCAGUCUCAGCACGGCAGCAAGGACAGCUUCCUCAAUGAUAUGCAUUCCAUGCCGCAACCACAACCUCAAAUUAAUCAGACACAGUCUCAUGAUAAUCAAAUGAACCAUCAGUUGCUGUCAACGAAUUUACAAGGUUUUGUUCCAACAAUGCAGCGGAACAACAUGACAAGUUUGCAGUAUAAUUCUGUGUCUUCCUUACCUGGGGUUGCAACAGCGCAGCAGACCAUGUUAAAUUCCCUGCAGCCAAGUUCCAAUUUGGAUGCGGGACAAGGUAAUGGCCUAGGCUCAAUGCAUUCUCAGAAGCCUUGGUAGCAUUCUCAGAAGCCAACUAACAAUUAAUUCUUUAGUGAAUAGCAAUUGGUUGAGUAUUAGCAUUGCUUUCCACUGAUGUGCUGGUCUAGUGGUGAAAGUAGUGGUGUUUUAGUGAGUUACAGUCCUCCUUAGGUGCAUGACCAAUGGCCUAGGACAGAGAGAAAAAUCGGAAUCUUAAGAGCCUUGUGAAGAAGGGUUUCCUAGUAUUAGUAUUAAAUCAACCAAAUUGACAUCCAAUUGUAAAGUUGUGGUUUACAUAGCAAACCAUCAUGUUCAACUUAAGUCAUGGUUGUAGGGUGUCUGUGAGUGUCUAGUAACAUGUCUUGUCAUUUUGUAAGAGUGCGGCAAAUGAUGUAUACUGUCCACUUUAUCUUACAACAUUAACAAAAAUGAAAUCCUGCUCUUAUGUAUAAAUUUGUGGUUGCAAAAACUGUGUUUUACCCCGAGUUUCUUAUCAAGAGAAGGGGGUUGUUUACUGAAAAGAGCUUUGUCAAAUGUUUUGCAUAUUUGAGAAGUGAUUUGUGUCCAAACUUACAAGUUUUUCUUUUUCACUUCCUUUAAUAUAUGACAAAAAAUUUGAUGUGAAUUGUUUGUGACUUUUCUUUUCUCUUUUGAUGUUGUCAGAAUUUGAUGGAUACCAAUAACUGGAGGCCUACUCCUGCCAGUGGAGAGCCCACCAUGGAUACAGGUGAUUGGAGAACCCAGUUGCAGCCUGAUUCACGACAAAGAAUUGUCAACAAGAUGUAAGUGAAUUUUAUGGUAUUAUUAUUUGUUAAAUAUACUUGUUGUAUUUAAGUUACUGAUAUUCUGUGGCAUGUCUUUUACAGUUUCAAUAUUGUUAAUAACCAAACAAUACCAUCAAUAAAACCAUAUAUCCUAUUCUAGAGCGCAUUCUUUGUUUUGUAAAUACAUAGCUCGAAAAUCAAAGCUUGCUCUUACCCAGAGUUUGGGCACAAUAUAUGGAUCACGUAUCUGGAAGCCUGAUGUGGCAAAGCUAUUGGGUCCAAUUCUGUGUGGCGUACUUGGUAUCGACAUUUAAUGAAUUUAUGUGAUUGAAUGAGGAUAAAUUUUACUUUUAGAUCUUUUGCUUCUUGGAAGCUUGGGACUUGUUUUCUCAUUCGAGUGCUACAGUAUAUGAAUUGAUGGUUCUCUUUUCCUCUUACUAACUCAAUUAUACCCAUUCAUUAAAUAACUUAUAGCUGUAACGGACACUAGUGGUCUUGCUUUUCUAUAUCAUUUUAUGAACGAUGGUAAUUUUGGUAUGUGGUCUAUUUGAAUGUAGCUGAUAUCUGAAGGUCAUGAUGGCCACUUUGUUUAUUUGGGAGAACUUUGUUAAAUUCCAAUGCCAUGGCUUCUGGAUAUUUGAAUGAGUCGGUCCUGAACAAGUUAAUGAGGAAAAUCUUUUGGUGGUCAGAUUAUAUCCUGGUUGAUUUUCAUUUGAUUUUAUGUUAACUUCACAAUUUGGUCAUGGCAUUGUUUUAUUAACCAUGGAAGAUUCUUAUAUAUAUCCUAUUGGUUUGUCGAUACCUUACACAAUGCCUUGUGUGCAUAGAAUGGACACAUUGAAGAGGCACCUCCAUUUUCUGGGCCAAGAGGGUUUAAAUGACUCAGGAAAAAUCGCAGUAAAGGUUUUUCGAAGGAAAAGAUUUUUUACAGCAGCAAACAGCCAGGUAAUCAUAGAAUAUUGGCAUUCUUAACCUGCUUGGAUUGCCAUUGUUGUUUACCUAUAUUUUGUUUGUUUCGCGUUGUGUGUAUGUAUCUUUGUGUUUCUUUUUUUUCUUAUUUAAUAUGUAUACGAAUGCAUACACCUAGACUCCUUGUCAUUACAUUGGAAGUAAAAUAAGAAAAGAAAUCCAGGGAGUGAAAGGAGAGCAGAGGUAGGAAAAACAAAGAUGCCUAAAUGGAUAUUAAGCAUGGUUAAUAUAACAUAUUUGGACAAUCUUGUCUUGUAUUUGAAUAAUGAAGUAAAGCUUGUUUACUCUAAUGCUGUAGAUGGAUUUCUAUAUUCAGUCUGAUUAUCUAAGGAGAAUAUCCUUGAAGAUGCUUACUAUGGAGAAACAGUCUGAGAAUACCAUACCCAACACUGGGAAUAACAGCAAGGCCCCUGAUCCAGGUAAUUGCAGGAAACAGCAUUUUGCUUUGAUGUAAUCUAGAAGGAGGACAUUUUCCAUUUACAUGUCCUUUCUGUUCUUUAACAUGAAGAGUUGUUUAACUUGCAACAUUUAUGCACAUAUUCUUUCUGCAGCUAUUUGAAUGAAAAUUACCUAUAUUUUAACUCUUUUGUCCCCUUAACAAAGCGUGGUUGUUUUGGUGGGUUGGAGUUGUUUAAGGGAUAGAUUUGAUAAGCACCCAAAUAGAAAGCCCCAUUUGCUGUUCCCAUGAUUGAAGUCCUUCAGCAUGGGAUGCACCUCUUCAUGUGCUAGGCCUAGGAAUAAUUUUAUUAUUUUUUUCAUGAUCCUCAUGGUAUGGUUCAAUUGCCCUCACAGGUUUUAAGUCUAGUCAUCUUUUUGAAUGAAUUAAUUACUGCUUCAGUAUUUUUGUUGUUUAUCUUGUUCUAAAUGUUCUUCAAUUCAGUUCUUGUGGGUUCUUCCCAACUUUUCUUUCUGAAUAUAAGAAUCUUGGGUAGGUUCUGAGGGCAUGCAAAACCAAGUUCACAGUCAAGGGCAAUCAAUUCCUAUCCCAUUACAAAGUAAUCAGUCUCAAGCACAUCAACAACUGUUACCCCAGAGUGUUCCAAAUAACAUGUCAUCUGCUGGAGUUCAAAGUUCUACUGGUUUACAAUCUGGGAUGCCUUCUGUGUCUGGUCCAACCCAGAAUUCUAUACCUAAUGUUGUUGGCCAGAAUUCCAACAUGCAAAACUUGUCUGAAAUUUCACAGAACUCACUGGGGCAAGGGAUAUCUUCCAAUAUUUGUACUAAUCAUCAGAGGCAAAUGCAAGGAAGGCAACAGGUGCUACCGCAACAGCAGCAGCACCUUUGCUUGCAGGGUUCGAAAUUACCUGCACCUGACACACCUGGUAAUGGUAUGUCAACAUCACCUUUGCUUGCAGGGUUCGAAAAUGCUAAUGAUACUCACAGUAAUGCUUUAACAACUGAUUUUGGCGAGUCGAAGGAUACAGAAGAGCCACAUGUUCCCAGAGUUACCAUGGUUAGUGGAGCUUAAUUAAUUUUCAUUCUUCGCAUGCUCUUUUUUCAAUUUUCCCCUUUGACUUGAUAUGUUGUUCAUGUGGUGAAAGAGUGGUAAAAAAGCUUGAAAUCCUUCUCUUUUGUUUUUUUUCCUUUUGAUUUUAUCUUCUAGUAUAGUUUGUUUUAGCUUUUGAAAUGAUUUUGGUCUAUUACUAUUUGGUAUGUUUCAGGCAAAACCCAUGUCACUUAAAUCAUUGGAGGCAUCUGUUGUCGUCAUGGUUGAGGAGGCAGCCACUGCCGUUGGUGUGGAUAUGGCCGUCUUGAGCAAGGGUGGUCUGCAUCGAAGAAAUUUCCUUCCACAAACUGGAAUGACUGGAGCCGAGAAAAUGAGAUUCUACAUGAGUGCACUGGCUAUAUUAGCUCUAAUGUUUUGGUUCAUUAUAAUAGCAUCUGCAUGAGCAGUAGCAAACAAAUUUCCAAAGCUUUUAAUAUUUGGUUAAAGGAGGAAAGACGCAUUGGUUAUGGCAUGGAUUUCUCUCCUAAUAAGUCAUGACUAUUGACUGAUGAUACUAUUACGACAAAUUGUUGACAGGUGUUUGCUUAUUUAAAGGUUUUUGAACUUGUUUACAUUCCUAUCAAAUAUAUUAGGAGAUGCAUGCAUCAAAGUUCAUGCCGUUUAAGCCUCAGUGCAUGCAGUUUCUGACCAAUCUAGCCAUGUAAUAACACUAAUUAUCUAACUAAACACAUAAUUUGACCCUAGCUUUUUUUAUCAAGUGACAAGGGUGUUUAGGGUUUUAUGUUUGGGUCGAUCUAAGGUUAUUCAAUGCCUUUAGGUGAAGAGCCAUCUAGAUUAGAAAUACCUAGAUGUAAUAAGGGAUAAUGAUCACUUUUAUUUUUCAAGAGGAAAGAGAGAAAAAGAAGGUAAAGUUGGUAUUGAUUUGACGAAAUGUCACAUUUGUAGUCAAAUUUGCUAAAUAUUUAUUGAUGGAAGUGGACCCUUGCAUGUAAUGCACUGCCUGCAGAAAUUGGUCCCCUUUUAUUGCUUAAGAUUCUUACUCACUAAGGGAUCUUUCUUUUCUUUUCUUUUUUUUUUUAAUAAUAUCAUUAUGACUAUUCUUAGAUUUUGCGGAAAUUUAAUUUUUUAGAUAAUUUUAAGAAUAUAUUUUUUCAUAUAAAUCUCAUGUAUAUACUUUUUUUUUUGUUCAAAAUAUGUCAUUUAUUAAUUUUAACAAAUUUUAAGAAAAAAAUUUAGAUUUUAGUGUGUUUAAUUUUAAAAUUUAAAAAUUUUUUUAAAUUAAAGUUUUAAGACUUUUAAUGUCAAAAAGUUAAAAAAAUCUAAAAUUUAAUUUUAAAAUAUAAAAAAUAAAUUUUUUAAAUGUUAAAAAAAUCCAACAUUAUUUGAGACAUUUCAAAAAGGAAAGAUUGAAAAAAAAAAGGACAAAAAGAAUAUGAUUUUAUUUUUAUAUAUUUUUCAUAAAAAAUGAAUCCUAAUUAAUACGAAUAAAAAUGUAAAAAAAAAAAAGAAAAAGACAACCACAGAAAUCCAAACUUGGAAGGAAAAAAAAAAAAAAAGAUUAAGUGGGCAACUUCAACAAGCAAGGUUCGCAUUAAUAAAUUCCAAAUGUUGCCAUGUAAUUGUAACCUAAUCAUUUUCACUAAAAUUACUACAACAAUUUUGAUUUUAACUGGCGAUUUUUGAUUAAAAAUGUAAAUGAUAAAUUAAUAUUCAUAAGGUAUUUGGGUUCGAUUUGAAUAAAACUCAAAUUCGAUUUGAUUAUUAUUAAAUCAAGUUCGAGUUCGAAUAACUCGAUUCAUCGAUCGAAUCGAGUUUGAAUAUUUUAAUAUUCAGUUCGAGUAAUUUGUUAGUGUAAUCGAAUUUUUAUAUUUAAAAUUUUUUUAUUAUUUUAAUAAAUAAAAUAUCUCAAAUUCGAGUUCGAAUUCAAGCACAAAUAAUCAAGUUUUUAUUGAGCAUAAAAAUUAAACUUAUUUUUAUAUAUUUUUUAGCUUAAUCGAACGAAUUCAAAUAGUUUGAAUUCGAUUACGAAUCGAAUUCAAAAUAAAAAAAAAAAUUCAAUCGAAUUUAAAUUAAAUAUCAAAUAACGAGUUGAGAAUCAAGCUAUAAUUUAAAAUUUUCAUUAUAUCACUUAACUCUUACUUUUGACAAUAAUUUUGUGAAAAAGUGAAAGAGUGGCUUAAGAAAUUUUAGCCCACGAUUUUUACCGUUGUCAAAGGUAAACUUUUUGUAGUAAGGAAGUGAUAAACUCAAUGGCCUUCAAGUUUUUUCUUUUUUUCUUGCUUUCGAAUCUAAGAGCACCAUUUUUUUUUUCGUGCUAAUCGACUUGCUAGAAUUUUUUUUUUUUUAAUUUGAAUUCAAAAAUUUUAAUUUUAAAAUCAAUUUUAAUAUUAUUAAAUUAAUUUAUCAUUAUUCAUUAUUAAGUAAAAUUUUAUAUAUCAAUCUUAAAGAUGAAUUAUAAUUAUUAUACAUCAAAUUCAAUUUUUAUCUAUUUUAAUGUAUAUUGUAUUUUCCUUGAUAACAUAUUGAUUUGUUAAGAAUUGAUUUUCUUUUAUGUAAAAACUUGUUUAUUUGACUAAUUAUGUUUGUAAUAUUUAUUUGUAAAUGUAUUAAGCUAAUUAUGUCUCAUAAAAGAAUUUGGGUCUUGGAAGAAAAUUGAAUAAUUUAGUUAAAUUAUAUAAUAAUCAACUAAUACUUCAUUAUUAUAAAUAAAUGAAUUACAACUAGAUCUAUUAAAUUAUAAAAAAAUUACAAUUAAAUUUGAUAAUUUUAAAUAUGAUAUAUUGAUAUAAUAUAAAAAUUAUAUAAAAAGUAAAAAAAAUAAUAUGAUUUAGGAUUUUAAACAAAAUAAUAUGAAAUUUAAAUAACAAAAAAUAUAUUUUAUUUUUAACGUAUUAAUAUAAAUUUUGCAAUGAUAAUUUUAAACAAAUUAAAUACAAAAUAAACAUGAAAUAAAUAUAAAAAUUAUCUAAUUACAACACUCCUUAUUAAGUUGGUUAGGAAAUUAGGAAAAUUUUCACCAUUGAUUUUGUAUCAAUUUUGUCAAAAAAUAUAAGAAGAAAAAAUCAAAAGAAUUUCACAUUUUCCAAUACAAGUUUUUUAUAAAAACAAUACUAACAUAUUUUAUUUUGAUAAAUAAAUUUCAAACAGACAAAUUAUUUACAAAUAAAAUAACAUUAAAAUUUGAAUCUAAAAUUAUUUUUUAACUGAAGUGUAGGAACCAACUUUAAUUGCUUCAAUUAAUUUUAUUAUAACAAAAAAAUGGUUAAUUCCAAAAUAAAAAUGCAUGAUUGCAAAAAUAAUGUCAACAAAAAAAAAAAUUUGAAAGAGAAAAUUCAAAAGUGUAAGGAAGGAAAACAAUAAAAGUCAAAAUUGAGAAAAAAAAAUCAAAAUUAGGGUUUUUUUUUUUCUUUUUUAAAUCGUCAUUAUUUGUGGACAUGAAAAAAAAAAAUAAAAACAAAAACCCAGACAAUUUGCAAAGAUAUGUCCCUAUAAAAGCCAUUGCCAUGCACUUCAAUCCAACACAUGACCUUCUUUCCCUCCUCACCGUCUUAGCUUCUUUUAUCUCUUUCUUUUCUCUCACUUUCUUUUCAACCACACAAAUAAAUUUCAGUUGGUUGUCCUCCUUUUAUUUUCUUCUAACAAUAUUUAUUUAUACGUUAGAGUUAGAUAUUUUUCCAAUUAUGCCAAAAAGAAACAAAAAAGAAAUUUUAUAAUUUAUUCUCCGUAUAAUCAAAGAUAAUCUGAGGCGUGGGUUUAAUUCAAUCUGGGAUUUGGUAUUUGAAAAAAAAAAUUCUUGAGGAAUUGUCGAAGCGGAUUUCUCUUAGGAGCUCUUCGUUGAGGUAAAAAUUUCAAACUUUUUAUAGGUUUUACGAUUCUGUUGCCUUAAUUUCCUCGAAAAUCUUACCUGGGAAUAUGUUUUUGACUGUAAGAAUAAAAGAUUUCAUUUUUUAUUUAAUAUCACCAGGUAAUUAACUUUGUAUUUUUUUAAUCGUUUUGCUGUAAAAAAAAUUAGAAAGCUUGCUAGAAUAUUUGGAUACUCAAUAAUGAAAGCAACCCCCAAAAGCAGAUUAUUUCUAUUAAACAUAAUUUAAAUCAUGGAUUUUGUUAAUAUUUCUCAUUCUCUUUCUCUUUGUUUUUUCAUUUAAUGAUAUAUGAUAAAGUUCUAGUUAUGGGGGCUGAUUUCAUUGGGAAAAUGUCAAAUAUUUAGCUAGAAAAGUUUCAAGUGCAGUUGUUUUUGGUUAGAAGGCUCAACCUUCUAACCGUGAGCCUUGGUAGCAUUCUCAGAAGCCAACUAACAAUUAAUUCUUUAGUGAAUAGCAAUUGGUUGAGUAUUAGAACUGCUUUCCAGUGAUGUGCUGGUCUAGUGGUGAAAGUAGUGGUGUUUUAGUGAGUUACAGUCCUCCUUAGGCGGAUGACCAAUGGCCUAGGACAGAGAGAAAAAUCGGAAUCUUAAGAGCCUUGUGAAGAAGGGUUACCUAGUAUUAGUAUUAAAUCAACCAAAUUGACAUCCAAUUGUAAAGUUGUGGUUUACAUAGCGAACUAUCAUGUUCAACUUAAGUCAUGGUUGUAGGGUGUCUGUGAGUGUCUAGUAACAUGUCCUGUCAUUUUGUAAGAGUGCGGCAAAUGAUGUAUACUGUCCAAUUUAUCUUAAAACAUUAACAAAAAUGAAAUCCUGCUCUUAUGUAUAAAUUUAUGGUUGCAAAAACUGUGUUUUACCCGGAGUUUCUUAUCAAGAGAAGGGGGGUGUUUAUUGAAAAGAACUUUGUCAAAUGUUUUGCAUAUUUGAGUAGUGAUUUGUGUCCAAACGUACAAGUUUUUCUUUUUCACUUCCUUUAAUUUAUGACAAAAAAUUUGAUCUGAAUUGUUUGUAACUUUUCUUCUCUCUUUUGAUGUUGUCAGAAUUUGAUGGAUACCAAUAACUGGAGGCCUACUCCUGCCAGUGGAGAGCCCACCAUGGAUGCAGGUGAUUGGAGAACCCAGUUGCAGCCUGAUUCACGACAAAGAAUUGUCAACAAGAUGUAAGUGAAUUUUAUGGUAUUAUUAUUUGUUAAAUAUACUUGUUGUAUUUAAGUUACCGAUAUUCUGUGGCUUGUCUUUCACGGUUUCAAUAUUGUUAAUAACCAAACAAUACCAUCAAUAAAACCAUAUUUCCUAUUCCAGAAUGUUUUCUUUGUUUUGUAAAUACAUAGCUCGAAAAUCAAAGCUUGCUCUUACCCAGAGUUUGGGCACAAUGUAUGGGCCACGUAUCUGGAAGCCUAAUGUGGCUAAGCUAUUGGUGGCAUACUUGGUAUCGUCAUUUAAUGAAUUUAUGUGAUUGAAUGAGGAUAAAAUUUGCUUUUAGAUCUUUUGCUUCUUGUAAGCUUGGGACUUGUGUUCUCAUUUGAGUGCUACAGUAUAUGAAUUGAUGGUUCUCUUUUCUUCUUACUAACUGAAUUAUACCCAUUCAUUAUAUAACUUAUAGCUGUAACGGACACUAGUGGUCUUGCUUUUCUAUAUCAUUUUAUGAACGAUGGUUAUUUUGGUAUGUGGUCUAUUUGAAUGUAGCUGAUAUAUGAAGGUCAUGAUGGCCACUUUGUUUAUUGGGGGGAACUUUGUUAAAUUCCAAUGCCAUGGCUUCUGGAUGUUUAAAUGAGACAGUCCUGAACAAGUUGAAGAUGAAAAUCUUUUGGUGGUCAGAUUAUAUCCUGGUUAAUUUUCAUUUGAUUUUAUGUUAACUUCACAGUUUGGUCAUGGCAUUCUUUUAUUAACCAUGGAAGAUUCUUAUAUAUAUCCUAUUGGUGUGUCAAUAACUUACACAAUGCCUUGUGUACAUAGAAUGGACACAUUGAAGAGGCUCCUUCCAUUUUCUGGCCAAGAGGGUUUAUAUGAACUCAGGAAAAUCGCAGUAAGGUUUGAGGAAAAGAUUUUUACAGCAGCAAACAGCCAGGUAAUCAUAGAAUAUUGGCAUUCCUUAACCUUCUUGGAUGCAUUGUUGUUUGCCUAUAUUUUGUUUGUUUGCGUUGUGUGUAUGUAUCUUUGUGUUUCUUUUUUUUUCUUAUUCAUAUGUAUAGACAUGCAUACACCUAGACUUCUUGUCAAUUACAUUGGAAGUAAAUAAGAAAGAAAUCCAGGUAGGAAAGAGAGCAGAGGUAGGAAAAAACAAAAAUGCUUGAUGCUAACUCAUUAUUAAGCAUGGUUAAUAUAACAUAUUCGAUAAUCUUGUCUUGUAUUUGAAUAAUGAAGUAAAGCUUAUUUACUCUAAUGCCGUAAUGGAUUUCUAUAUUCAGUCGGAUUAUCUGAGGAGAAUAUCCUUGAAGAUUCUUACUAUGGAGAACAAGUCUCAGAAUACUAUGCCCAACUCUGGGAAUAACAGCACGCCCCCUGAUCCAGGUAAUAGCAGGAAACAGCAUUUUGCUUUGAUGUAUGCUACAAGUAGGACAUUUUCCGUUUACAUGUCCUUUCUGUUCUUUAACAUGCAGAGUUGUUUAACUUGCAACAUUUAUGCACAUAUUCUUUCUGCAGCUAUUUGAAUGAAAAAUACCUAUAUUUUAACUCUUUUGUCCCUUAACAAAGCGUGGUUGUUUUGGUGGGUUGGAGUUGUUUAAGGGAUUGAUUUGAUGAGCACCCAAACAGAAAGGCCUAUUUGCUGUUCCCGUGAUUGUAGUCUUUCUGCAUGGGAUGCACCUCUUCAUGUGCUAGCCUAGGAAUAAUUUGAUUAUUUUUUCAUGAUCCUCAUGGUAUGAUUCAAUUGCCCUCACAUGUUUUAAGUCUAGUUAUCUUUUUGAAUGAAUUAAUUACUGCUUCAGUAUUUUUGUUGUUUAUCUUGUUCUAAAUGUUCUUCAAUUCAGUUCUUGUGGGUUCUUCCCAACCUUCCUUUCUGAAUAUAAAAAUCUUGGGUAGGUUCUCAGGGCAUGCAAAACCAAGUUCACGGUCAAGGGCAAUCAAUUCCUAUCCCAUUACAAAGUAAUCCGUCUCAAGCACGUCAACAACUGUUACCCCAGAGUGUUCCAAAUAACAUGUCAUCUGCUGGAGUUCAAAGUUCUACUGGUUUACAAUCUGGGAUGCCUUCUGUGUCUGGUCCAACCCAGAAUGCCAUACCUAAUGUUGUUGGCCAGAAUUUCAACAUUCAAAACUUGUCUGAAAUUUCACAGAACUCACUGGGGCAAGGGAUAUCUUCCAAUAUUUUUACUAAUCAGCAGAGGCAAAUGCAAGGAAGGCAACGGGUGCUACUGCAACAGCAGCAGCAGCAACUAUACCAUCAGCAGUUACAACAGCAACUUAUGAAGCAAAAGAUUCAACAAGGAAAUCUCCAGCCUUCACUUAUGCAGUUUCACAUGCCGCAACAGCAACAGCAAAACCUGUUACCACCUACUCAGUUGCAAUCUUCCCUGCAAUCUGGUAUGCAAACAUCAGCCGUUAUGCAGCCAUCUGCCAUGCAAUCAACUCCUCUUACUGGUCUUCAGAAGAAUCAACAAUCUUCUCUGCAAGAGUCAAUACAGUCCAUGCUUCAGCAGCAUGAACAGCCACAAUCGGCCACCAGUGUUGGUAUUCUUCAACCACAAACAGCAAUGACACGGCAGUCAAUGAUGCCUCAGCAGCAGCAACAGCCUCCACAGCCACAGCAACAGCUGCAGCAGCCAAACAUAAUGGGACAACAGACAAAUGCUGCAAAUAUACAGCAGAAUCAGUUAAUUGGACAACAAAAUAGCAUUGUGGACAUGCAGCAGCAGAGAUUGCUAGGCCAGCCUAAUAAUAUUCCAAACCUGCAGCAGCAGCAGCAGCAUCAGUUAAUGGCUGAACAAAACCUCUCAAAUAUCCAUCAGCAACAGUUGGGUCCUCAAAGUAAUAUUUCAGGAUUACGGCAACAGCAGCAACAGCAAUUGAUUGGAACCCAGUCGGGUAACUCAAGCAUGCAAACUAAUGAGCACAUGCUACCCCAGCCUAAGGUUUCACUUCAACAAACGCAGCAGAGUGCACCUAAUUUGUUACCAACUCAGGGACAGACAUCCCAGCAGCCCCAGCAGCAGCAGCAGCAACAGCAACAGCAACUGAUGUCACAGAUGCAAUUACAGUCUACUCCGCUGCAGCGACAAUUGGGUUUGCAACAGCAGCCCUAUCAGUUGCACCAAAAUAUGCAGCCAAGGCUUCACGCAUCAGGUCAUGUAUCAAGUUCCUGGCUUCAAUCACAAAAUUUGAUAGAUCAGCAAAAGCAAUUGUAUCAAUCACGCAGAGCUGUUCGAGAGACAUCAUCAAGUAUGUUUUUGAAUGUUUGCAGUUGCUUACUUUGUUCUUUCUUUGUUUCUUUCUGAUCUUGUGUUAUUUAACUAAUCUAUGCAAUUUUUUCCUCUGAUACUAGCACAUUUUAUCCUUGAAGCCUGAAAAAAAUCUAUUUUCUCAUAUAGCUACUAUAGUUGAUGCUAUUGUUUUUCAUUGCAUUUCUAUUACAGAAAAUAAUUUCCAUUCCAACUUGGGGGGAUUAAGAGAAUAUCUUUUUGAGCUUGCACUACAUUAUCCUAUCAAAGCACAUUUUGCCUAGAUGAUUAGUUCUUAGCUAACAAAGACAAAUGCUACCAAAAUUAAUGGCACCCUUGCCUUCAUAAGCUGAUCAUGGGCACUGCCUGGCUUUUUAUGCCACCAGAAACAUUGUUGUUACUGUGGAAAACUCAGAAAUAAAACUGUGGAAAUCUAAGAGUAAAAACUGAAUGUAUAUUGAAAAACUGCUCAUUAAGAAUUAUACAAGAACCUUAGUUUAUAUAUAACUAACUAGGGGUUAAACUAGGAAACUAAAUCUUUCUAAAACCUGAUCAUAUGAUUGAGGGACUGUCUAUCAUUGUCCUUAAUUCUAGGGAUACAAAUACUUAAUUCUAGAGAUACAAAAAUAAAUAUACAGAUUACAAGAGUACAACCAGCUGUAAAUAAGUGUUUUCCCACACUCCCCCUCAAGCUAGUGAAUAGGUGUUUUCCAUUCCCAGCUUGGAAAUAAUUUCUUGAAAUAUUGCACUGCUGAGACCUUUAGUCAACACAUCUGCAUGUUGACUCUUAGUUGAUACAUAAGGUGUACAAAUUAACCCACUGUUUAGUUUCUCCUUUAUGAAAUGCCGGUCUACUUCAAUGUUUUUUGUUCUGUCAUGUUGCACAGGAUUGUGUGCAAUGCUUAUUGCAGACUUGUUAUCACAGUAGAGUCUCAUUGGUCCAUCCCACUUGAUCUUCAAGUCUUCUAGGAUAAUCUUUAAACCAUAGUAGUUCACAAAUUCCUUGAGCCAUUGCUCUGAACUUUGCUUCAGCACUUGAUCUUGCAAUCACAUUUUGUUUUUUACUCUUCCAAGUCACGAAAUUACCACCUAAGAAAGUGCAGUAGCCUGAGGUGGAUCUUCUAUCAUUUGCUGAACUUGCAUAAUCAGCAUCUAUAUAUGUCUAUAGAACUAGCCCCGAAUUUCCUUUGAAUAAGAUACCUCUCCCAAGAUUGGCCUUCAAAUAAUGCAAUACACAGUAGACAGCCUGUAGGUGCACUUCUUUAGGACUAUGUAUAAAUUGACUUAUCACACUUACAGCAUAUGCUAUAUCAGGUCAAGUAUGUGAGAGAUAAAUGAGUCUUUCAACUAAUUUUUGGUACAUCUCUCUAUCUACAGUAGCAUCUUCAUUAGCUUCUCCAAUUUUAUGAUUAGGAUCUAUAGGGGUAUUUGCAGGUUUACAUGUGAGCUUCCCAGUUUCCUUCAGAAGAUCCAUCACAUAUUUCUGUUGUGAGAUAAAAAUACCAUGCCGUGAGUAAGCUAUUUUAAUUCCUAGGAAGUACUUCAAUCUUCCUAGCUCUUCUAUCUCAAAUUCUCUAGCUAAACACAGUUUUAGAGAUUUUCUCUCUUUUUCAUCAUCUCCAGUUACAAUUAUAUCAUCAACAUACACUAAUAGAAUUGUGACUCUCCCUGAAUUAAAGUGCUUGAUAAAUGAUGUGUGAUCUCCUUGACUCUGUUUAUAUCCCAUUGAUAGCAUCACAUUGGCAAAUCUCCCGUACCAGGUCCUAGGAGACUGUUCAAGGCCAUGUAAAGCCUUUUUCAGCUUGCAUACUUUGUUUGCUUGUAGACGAUCUCCAAAUCCCGGUGGAACCUUCAUAUAUAUUUCUUCUUCCAAAUCACCAAGUAGAAAAGCAUUUUUUACAUCAAAUUGUUGAAGUUGCCAAUUGUAAUUUGCAGCCAAUGAUAACAAAACCUUAAUUGUAUUCAUCUUGGCAACUGGAGCAAAGGUUUCCAGAUAAUUCACUCCAUAGGUUUAAGUGUAGCCCCUAGCCACUAAUUUGGCUUUAUACCUUUCAACAUUACCAUCCGCCUUGUAUUUUACAGUGAAAACCCAUUUACGCCCUACUGAAUUUUUUCCUUUAGGCAACUUUACCAGUUCCCAUGUCUUAUUUUUCUCUAAGGCCUCCAUUUUUAUUUUCAUGGAUUGCUUCCAUUUUUUACUGGAUAAUGCCUCGGAUAAUGUAGUUGGAGCAGAAAUAGUGUUUAGGCUCACAAGAAAAUUUUUAUGGGAUAAUGAGAAUUUUUCAAUGACACAAAAUUAGAGAUUUGGUAUAGUGGUUGCUUAGUACAUUCUUUGGUUUCUUUCCUAAUGGCAAUAGGCAGAUCAUAAUCACUAGUUAUAGUUUUAGGAGAUUCAUGCUCAUUUUGAGAAAUAAAGUCAAAAAUUGUAGUUACCUCAUUUCUAGAGUUAGGAACAAGUUCUUGGACUGGCAUUGGUUCAGGACUUGGAACUUUCCUUCUUGAGUACACUUGUAAUUCCUUCAUAGAAUCAAGAACAAUAUUAUCUUUUGUCACAUCUUCUAUCUUUGGAAUGGGUUCAGACUCAAAUUCAGUGUUUGACUUAGGCUCAGCAGAAAUAGGUUUUCACUCAGAAGAAUUAAUGGGUGAAAAUGUUGAAGAGGAGGACAAAUUAAGCAAAAAGAAGUCUUUAUCAUUAUCUUCCAUGAAUGAAGUCUCUCCCUGAAGAUAAGGUUGAGUAAAAAAUGGUUUAUUUUCUUCAAAAGUGACAUUUGCAGACACAUAAUUUUUUGGUAGGAAGAUGAUAGCACUUAUACCCUUUCUGAGUCACAAAGAUACACUUAAUUGCUCUUGGAUCUAAUUUUCUCUUAUUAUGACUGUGAACAUGAACAAAUGAUGUACAACCAAAUAUCCUAGGUGUGAGGUUGUUUGUGGUAUUGAGGUUGGGAUAGAAUUGUGAAAGUAGUUUCAUAGGAGUUUUAAAUCCCAAAACCCUUAAAGGUAACCUAUUUGUAAUGUGUGUGGCAGUGAGAACAGCUUCCCCCCCAGUAAGAUUUGGGUACAUUUGCUUGAAAAAAGAAGGUUCAGGUUGUGGCUAGUAAAUGGUUGUUUUUCCUCUCUGCCACUCCAUUUUGUUGUGGAGUAUUAAUACAAGAUGACUCGUGAAUAAUCCUCUCUUUUUAAAAAUAGGUGGAUAGACUCUAGUUGAAAUAGUCUCUUGCAUUAUCAGACCUAAAUCUCAUGAUUCUCUCCAAAUUGAUUUUGGAUCAUGUUUUGGAAGCUUAAAAACACAUUAUUCACAUCUUAUUUGGAUUUAAAUAAAAAAACCCAAGAGAGUUUGGUACAAUCAUCUACGAAUGAAACAAACCAUUUUGCACCAGAAAUUGUAGAGGGACCCCAAAUGUCACUAUGAAUCAAGUAAAAGGGAGUAGAACUUCUUUUGUUACUAAUUGAAAAAGACACACGUCUGUGCUUUGCAAGUUCACAAACAUUACAAUGAAAAUCUUUGACAUUUAAUCCUUUGAACAAAGAAGGAAACAUGUUUCACAAAGAUCCAAAAGAAGAAUGUUUAAGACGAAAAUGAUAAAGUUAGAUUUUGUCUUUAGUGGAAGAUUUUUCAGAAUGAAAUAACAAAGGUAAACUAUUCUUGAUAUUACUUGUGUUGUUUGAUGUCUUAAGAUAGUAUAGUCCAUCCUUCUCCUUAGCAAGUCCAAUCCUUUUCUUCGAACUCUAGUCCUGAAAUUCACAAUAAGAGGGAUAAAAAAUCACUUUGUAGUUCAUAUCUUUGGUAAGUUUUUGUGUAGAUAUCAAAUUAGUAGACAAUCCAAGAACAUGAAGAACAUUUUUAAGAACAAACGAGGGAUUAAUUUGAACAUCUCCUAAUCCUGCCACUGUAAUGAGUGAACCAUUUGCAACACCAAUUUUCUUAUUACUAGAACACAGGGUGUAUGUACUAAACCUCUGUGAAGAAUGUGUCAUAUAGUCUGUGGUCCUAAGUCAAUGACCCAAGAACUCGUAAUAGGCUUAACCGAGACAUUUAAUCCAUGAGAACCAGAAGCUUUACCUGAACUAAAGACCUUACUCAAGGAACAUACUACAAUAGGCUUUUCAAGGGUUCAAUAGCUUUCUCAGCUUUUCAAUCUCUUCUUUGUCCAACUCUCCUUGUUUUUGAGACAUCUGUAAUACUUCGAUGAUUUUUUCAGUUGACACUUCCUCAAAUUUGGUGAUAGUGAUAUCUUUCUUUGAACUGAAACAAGUCUUAGGAUAUAAUAAAAAAUGACUGUUAGCAAUGAAGGCUAAAGAAGGAAAAAAUAAAAUGGCUAUGAAGGCCUUAACAGGGUUUGGCAAUGAAGGCCUAAAAAUAGAAGUUAGCAAUGAAGGUUGAAAAAUUUUGCUUCCCAAGAAGAGCCUAAAGCUUUGAUACUAUGUAGAAAACUUAGAAAUAGAACUAUGUGAAAAACUAAGAGUAAAAACUGAAUGUAUAUUGAAAAACUGCUCAUUAAGAAUUAUAUAAGAACCUUAGUUUAUAUACAACUAACUAUGGGUUAAACUAGGAAACUAAAUCUUCCUAAAAACUGAUCCUAUGAUUGUGGGAUUGUCUAUCAUUGUCCUUAAUUCUAGGGAUACAAAUACUUAAUUCUAGAGAUACAAAAAUAAAUAUACAGAUUACAAGAUUACAAUCAGCUGUAAAUAAGUAUUUUCCCACAGUUACCCGUGUCACUGCUAAGACUCCACUGCUGUCACUGUGCUAUUAUGUUACUCUUAACACUCACUCUAGUUAUUUUGCAAUGAUUUUGUCAAACCACAAAGCAAUGGCUGGAUUUAAUCUAUUCAUUUUAUCAACAAAUAAUUCAUGCUGUUUUAUUCAACUUGGCUAUAAAAUAUUCUUCUGGAAAUAAGUAAACUGUGUUUUGUGUGCAAAGAGAAGUGACCAUUUUGUUGGUUAAGCUCAAAGAGCAGAAACAAAAUGCAUAAACUCACUCAUGCCCUUCAUAUUCAUUUGAAUUUUAGAAUAGUCAGAUAACUCUAGCAGUUUGUUUGAUUAUGUCGGGUUGGUGUGAUUCCUUUGUCCGACUUAAAUAUUGUUGUUCUUUCUUGUAAUCUAGCUUUCAAAAAUGUUCCCACCACUUAAUUUAACAAAAAAAUUAUGAUUAGGAGAUUGCAGUCCUGUUUGGGAACAGCUAGUUACUGUUUUUGCAUCAAAAUAGAGGGUAAACAUGCUUGCAAAUGUCAGAGGAGUUUUAUUUGAAUGAAGAAUGCAUAACGAAUGACUAGAUAAGCAAGUGGGUGACAGUGAGCUGGUUCAUGCAUGCAUGAAAUGGUUAAAAGGGUGUCAAAACUCAAAAUUGUCUUAGUGGUGUUUUGAUUUAGUCUAACGGCUUUUAUUGAAACAUUCUGUAGAUUUAAUUAAGUUCUAUAUGAACCCUAUAUUCCUUAAGUCUAAUUUGUGCCCUAAAUUUUUUUAGACCUUUAGUUUGACUCGCCCUUAUUUGCUUGACAUAUUUAUUUUUAACGAAUAACAAGUCUGUAGCAGAAAAUAGUUUAACUUUUUUUAGGUCUUCCUUCUCAUGAUCACUUAAACUUUUCUAUCAUUUACUCCUAUUCCAACUGAACUCCUUUUUUAUAGAUGGCAAAUGUAUAGUUAGCUUUUAACUUGAGAAACUCUAUAAGUAGACUUGAAAAAUAAGAAUGAUGUUUGAACUUGGAGUUUGUCUCUAUGUGUCACAAUGGAAAGUCAAAAUUAAAAAAUUUUCUACUUUUGUAAGCGUGCAUCUUAGAAUAUCCCAAAAGUAAAAGGCAGUGAAAAUGGGGUGUAGGGAGCAUGUUUUUAAUGAGUAACCUCUAAAAUUUGGAUAUGCAUGGUUAGUUGCAGAAACUAGCAAUAAAAUUUUCUCAUAUGUCAAUGUCCAAAAUGUUUAAUGGUUUCUUCAAAUGCCUUUCAGUUGUAACCCGUGGUGGGUCUGAUGGAAUUUUGGGACAUAGGAAUUGAUUAUUGGUUGCAUUAUGAUCCCUGUUGAUAACCCAUCAAUGCUAUGUGUACUUUAAUUUGCUUUCAGAGUUGGUUGUUUUCUGCUCAUAAUAUACCCUUCUUCCAUAAAUUAUCUAUUUCAAUGUUCUGUUACAUAUGCAACAAAAUAAUGUACUUUCACGCGUAUGGAACAAUUUUCUUUCAUUUAAAUUAUGUUUUCCUUGCGUAUUCUUCUUCCUUCAUAAAUUUCCAUUUUUCUUUUGUGUGUAGAAUUUAUUUAUCCUUUUCUUUUAGCAUCUUUAGAUUCCACAGCUCAAUCAGGACAUGCAAAUGGGGGUGAUUGGCAAGAAGAGGUCUAUCAGAAGGUAAAAACUAUCUUGACUUAUUCUCCUAUAGAUAUUAUUACAGUUUCAACUUGUUGGUGAGCAAGAAACCUAAGACCAAGGGUAUCUUGCAUACUUGACUUCAAAGUAAUCAUCAUUUAUCGACAACUUUGUUUCUUCUGUUAUUAACUAAUAUCAAUUCCUGCUAGUCAGAAAAUGGAAAAAUCUUGUUACUUUUCUAAUAAAUCAUGACACUGGGAUAAUUUGAGUGGUUUAAAUGUUGGUUAAGCAUUCUGUUCCUGAUUUUAUGUUGCAGAUCAAGGCCAUGAAAGACACAUACUUACCUGAAUUAAAUGAGAUGUACCAGAAAAUUGCUGCCAAGUUGCGGCAGGUAUGUUUAUUCUUUUACAUAAUCAUAUAUGUUGAUUCCCUAACCUCCAAGGAGUGAUAGAACCCAUCUGCCCCGUAGUCUGCCACCCUGUGUCUCUAAAUAGAAUUUAGAGAGGACUUUACUGCUUCACAUUAGAAAGCUGUUGAACCCAUACCACUUUUGGGUUGCUACUUGAAUCCCCUUACCAUAGACACUGUUUAGUGGUUGCACUUAUGCAUAUCUGUUGUAAUAGUGGUUUGUAGUUUUACUUGCAUCAGUUGAAACAAUUUUAUGUGUACUAUUUUCCAGCAUGAUUCUCUUCCACAGCAGCCAAAGUCAGAGCAGCUUGAAAAGUUGAAAAUGUUCAAGAUCAUGUUGGAGCACAUUAUAUCUUUCUUAUCAGUUCCCAAAGCCAGUAUCUUACCCACUUUCAAGGAUAAGUUGAGUUUGUAUGAGAAGCAGAUAGUAAAUUUUUUAAAUACCAAUAGGCCAAGGAAGGCAGUCUCCGCACUGCAGCAAGGACAGCUUCCUCCGCCUGAUAUGCAUUCCGUGCCGCAGCCACAACCUCAAAUUAAUCAGACACAGUCUCAUGAUAAUCAAAUGAACCCUCAGUUGCAGUCAACGAAUUUACAAGGUUUUGUUCCAACAAUGCAGCCGAACAACAUGACAAGUUUGCAGCAUAAUUCUGUGUCUUCCUUACUGGGGUUGCAACAGUGCAGCAGACCAUGUUAAAUUCGCUGCAGCCCAGUUCCAAUUUGGAUGCAGGACAAGGUAAUGCCCUAGGCUCAAUGCAGCAGGUUGCUGCAGGACCUUUACAACAGAAUCCUGUGAGUACCUCCCAACAGGCAAAUAUUAACAGUUUAUCCUCACAAAGUGGGUUAAGUGUCCUGCCGCAAAACAUGAAUCCUUUUCAGUCAAAUUCCAACAUGCUUCAGCACCAGCAUAUGAAACAACAGCAGGAACAGCAAAUGCUGCAAUCACAAAUGUGCAAACAACAGUUUCAACUGCUUCAGAUGCAGCGGAAGCUGCAGCUACUGCAACAACUACAGCAACAGCAACAAAAGCAGCUGCAUGAAAUGGAUGAUAUAAAUGACGUGAACAUGAGACAGGGAAUCGGUGUUAAUCCUGGGGUUCUUCAAGCAAAUCUCUCAACUGGCCAACUUCCAGGUUAUUCAUAUGAGCAUUCAAAAACUAGUGCCCAAUUUCAUACAUCUUCACCCCCGCUCUUUCAGGCUCCAUUUGUCCCACCUACUUCAACCCUGUUGAGUCGAUAUCCCUCGCCUGAGAACACUGAGAAAUCUAUCUAUGGCGCUUCCUCUCUGUCAAAUAACAAAAAUAUUAGUCAGCAGCAAGCAGGAUCUGAAUUCCCUGCACCUGACACACCUGGUAAUGGUAUGUCAACAUCACCUUUGCUUACUGUGUUCGAAAAUGCUAAUGAUACUCACAGUAUUGCUUUAACAACUGAUUUUGGCAAGUCGAAGGUUACAGAACUGCCACAUGAUCCCAGAGUUACCAUGGUUAGUGAAGCUUAAUUUUCAUUCUUGACAUUCUCUUUUUUCAAUUUUCUCCUUUGGCUUGAUAUGUUGUUCAUGUAGUGAAAGAGUGGAAAAAAACCUUGAAAUCCUUGUCUUUUUUUUUUCCUUCUUUUUGACUUUAUCUUCUAAUAUAGUUUGUUUUAGCUUUUGAAAUGAUGUUGGUCUAUUACUAUUUUAUAAGUUUCGGGCAAAACCCAUGUCACUUAAAUCAUUGGAGGCAUCCGUUGUGAGCAUGGUUGAUGAGGCAGCCUCUGCAGUUGGUGUGGAUAUGGCCACCACGAGCAAGGGUGGUUUGCGUCGAAGAAAUUUCUUUCCACAAACUGGAAUCACUGGAGCCGAGAAAAUGAGAUUCUACAUGAGUGCACUAGCUAUAUUAGCUCUAAUGUUUUGGUUCGUUAUAAUAACAUCUGCAUGAGCAGUAGCAAACAAAUUUCCAAAGCUUUUUAUGCUUGGGUAAAGGAGGAAAGGCCCAUUGGUGGUAGCUUGGACUUCUCUUGUACUGAGUCAAGAUGAUACUAUUAUGACAAAUUGUUGACAGGUGUUUGCUUCUUGUAAGGUUUUUGAACUUGUUUACAUUCCAAUCAAAUAUAUUAGGAGAUGCAUGCUUCAAAGUUCAUGCCGUUUAAGCCUCAGUGCAUGCCGUUUCUGCCCAAUCUAGCCAUGUAAUAAUACUAAUUAUCUUACUAAACACAUAAUUUGAUUAAGCGACAAGGGUUUUUAGGGUUUUAUUUUUGAGUCGAUCUAAGGUUAUUCAGUACUUUUAGGUGAAGAGCAAACUAGAUUAGAAAUACCUCUAUGUAAUAAGAGAUGAAGAUCACUUUUAUUUUUCAAAAGUAAAGGGGGAAAAAGAACGAAAAGACAACAUAAAGCCGGUGUUGAUUUGACGACAUGUCACAUUUGUUGUCAAAUUUGAUAAAUAUUCAUUGAUGGAAAUUUAGAUUGCUUAAGAUUCUUACUUGCUAAGGGAUCUUUUUUUUUUUUUUUUUUUUUAUAAUAUCAUUAUGACUAUUCUUAGAUUUUAGAUUUUGUGGAAAUUUGAUUUUUUUAGAUAAUUUUAAGAAUAUAUUUUUUCAUAUACAUCUCAUGUAUAAACUUUUUUUUUGUUUAAAAAUAUGUUAUUUACUAUUUUUAACAAAAUUUAAGAAAAAAUUUUAGAUUUUAGUGUAUUUAAUAUUAAAAUUUAAAAUUUUUUUAUAAAAUUAAAAUUUUAUGACUUUAAUGUUAAAAAGUUUAAAAAAUCAUAAAAUUUAAUUUUAAAAUAUAAAAAAUAAAAAUUUUAAAUGUUAAAAAAAUACAACAUAAUUUUGAGACGUUUCAAAAAGGAAAGAUGGAAAAAAAGGGACAAAAAAAUGUGAUUUUAUUUAUAUAUAUUUUUCAUAAAAGGUGAAUCUUAAUUAAUACAAAUAAAAAUGUAAAAAAAAAAAAAAAAGACAACCAUUGAAAUCCAAACUUGGAAGGAAAAAAAAAAAAAAAGAUUAGGUGCGCCAACUUCAACAUGCUAGGUUCGCACUAGUAAAUUCCAAAUAUUGCCAUGUAAUUGUAACCUAAUUAUUUUGACUAAAAUCACUAUAAUAAUUUUGUUUUUCAGCGACGACAUGUGAAAAUGAUUUGUGAAAAAGUGAAAGAGUGGCUUAAGAAAUUUUAGCCCACGAUUUUUACCGUUGUCAAAGGUAAAAUUUUUGCAGUAAGGAAGUGAUAAACUCAACGGCCAAUGGCCUUCAAAUUUUUUUUUUCUUGCUUUCAAAUCAAAGAGCACCAUUUUUUUUUUUUUUCGUGUUAAUCGACUUGCUAGACCUUUUUUUUUUUAAUUUGAAUUCCAAAAUUUAAUUUUAAAAUCAAUUUUAAUAUUAUUAAAUUAAUUUAUAAUUAUUCAUUAUUAAGUGAAAUUUUAUAUAUUAAUCUUAAAAUGAUGAUUUAUAAUUAUUAUAUAUCAAAUUUAAAGUUUACCGUAUGAUAAUUUAUUUUAAUUCAUAUUGUAUUUUUCUUGAUAACAUAUUGAUUUAUUAUGAAUUGAUUUUUUUCUUAUGCAAAAACUUAUUUAAUUAAUUAAUUAUGUUUGUAAUAUUUACUUGUAAAUGCUUUUAGCUAAUUAUGUCCGAUAAAAGAAUUUGAUUUAUUGUAAAAUGGAAUUUGAAUUACUUGGGUCUUGAAAGAAAAUUAAAUAAUUUAGUUAAAUUAUAUAAUCAUCAACUAAUACUUUAUUAUUAUAAAUAAAUGAAUUACAAAUAUAUAUAUUAAAUCAUUAAAAAAUUUUCAAUUAAAUUUGAUAAUUUUAAAUAUGAUAUAUUUAUAUAAUAUAAAAAUUAUAUAAAAAAUAUGAAAAUUAUAUGAUUUAAAAUUUUAAUUAAAAUAAUAUAUAAUUUAAAAAUAAAAAAUAAAUUUCAUAUUUAACAUGAUAAUUUUAUACAUAUUAAAUACAAAAUAAACAAGAAAUAAAUAUAAAAUUUUUCUAAUUACAACGUUCCUUAUCAAGUUGAUUAGGAAAUUAGGAAAAUUUUCACCAUUCAUUUUGUAUCAAUUUUGUAAAAAAAUAUAAGAAAAACAUAUCAAAAGAAUUUCACUUUUUCCAAUACAAGUUUUUAUAAAAACAAAAAUAAUAGAUUUUAUUUUGAUAAAUAAAUUUGAGACAGACAAAUAUUUACAAAUAAAAUAACGUUAAAAUUUGAAUUUAAAAGAAGUAUAGGAACCAACCUUCAUUGCUUUAAUUAAUUUUAUUAUAACAAAAAUGUGGUUAAUUCCAAAAUAAAAAUGCAUGAUUGCAAAAAUAAUGUCAACAAAAAAAAAUAGUUUUUUGAAAGAGAAAAAUUCAAAAGUGUAAGGAAGGAAUAACAAUAAAUGUCCUAAUUGAUAAAAAAAAAAAUCAAAAUUAGGGUUUUUUUUUCUUUUUUAAAUCGUCAUUAUCUGUGGACAUGAAAAAUAAUAAUAAAAUAAAAACAAAAACGCAUACAAUAUACAAAGAUAUGUCCCUGUAAAAGUCAUUGCCAUUCACUUCGAUCCAACACAUGACUUUCUUUCCCUUCUUCCCGUCUAAGCUUCUUUUUUCUCUUUCUUUUCUUUCACUUUCUUUUCAACCAAACGAAUAAAUAUCAGUUGGUUUUCCUCCUUUUAUUUUCUUCUAAUAAUAUUUAUUUAUACGUGAGAGUUAGGUAUUUUUCCAAUUAUGCCAAAAAGAAACAAAAAAGAAAUUUUAUAAUUUGUUCUCUGUAUUAUCAAAUCAACGAUAAUCUGAGGCGUGGGUUUAAUUCAAUCUGGGAUUUGGUAUUUGAAAAAAAAAAUCCUUGAGGAAUUUUCGAAGCGGAUCUCUCUUGGAAGCUCUUCGUUGAGGUAAAAAUUUCAAACUUUUUAUAGGUUUUACAAUUCUGUUGCCUUAAUUUCCUCUAAAAUCUUACCUGGGAAUAUAUUUUUGACUGUAAGAAUAAAAUAUUUCAUUUUUUUUUAUUUAAUAUCACCCGGUAAUUAACUUUGUUUUUUUUUUUAAUCUUUUUGCUUUAAAAAAAAUUAGAAAGGUUGCUAGAAUAUUUGGAUACCCAAUAAUGAUAGCAACCCCCAAAAGCAGAUUAUUUCUAUUAAACAUAAUUUAAAUCAUGAAUUUUGUUUAUAUUUCUAAUUCUCUUUCUCUUUGCUUUUUCAUUUAAUGAUAUAUGAUAAAGUUCUAGUUAUGGGGGCUGAUUGCAUUGGGAAAAUGUCAAAUAUUUAGCUAGAAAAGUUUCAAGUGCAGUUGUUUUUGGUUAGAAGGCUCAACCUUUUAACCGUGAGCCUUGGUAGCAUUCUCAGAAGCCAACUAACAAUUAAUUCUUUAGUGAAUAGCAAUUGGUUGAGUAUUAGCAUUGCUUUCCAGUGAUGUGCUGGUCUAGUGGUGAAAGUAGUGGUGUUUUAGUGAGUUACAGUCCUCCUUAGGUGCAUGACCAAUGGCCUAGGACAGAGAGAAAAAUCGGAAUCUUAAGAGCCUUGUGAAGAAGGGUUUCCUAGUAUUAGUAUUAAAUCAACCAAAUUGACAUCCAAUUGUAAAGUUGUGGUUUACAUAGCAAACCAUCAUGUUCAACUUAAGUCAUGGUUGUAGGGUGUCUGUGAGUGUCUAGUAACAUGUCUUGUCAUUUUGUAAGAGUGCGGCAAAUGAUGUAUACUGUCCACUUUAUCUUACAACAUUAACAAAAAUGAAAUCCUGCUCUUAUGUAUAAAUUUAUGGUUGCAAAAACUGUGUUUUACCCCGAGUUUCUUAUCAAGAGAAGGGGGUUGUUUAUUGAAAAGAACUUUGUCAAAUGUUUUGCAUAUUUGAGAAGUGAUUUGUGUCCAAACUUACAAGUUUUUCUUUUUCACUUCCUUUAAUAUAUGACAAAAAAUUUGAUGUGAAUUGUUUGUGACUUUUCUUUUCUCUUUUGAUGUUGUCAGAAUUUGAUGGAUACCAAUAACUGGAGGCCUACUCCUGCCAGUGGAGAGCCCACCAUGGAUACAGGUGAUUGGAGAACCCAGUUGCAGCCUGAUUCACGACAAAGAAUUGUCAACAAGAUGUAAGUGAAUUUUAUGGUAUUAUUAUUUGUUAAAUAUACUUGUUGUAUUUAAGUUACUGAUAUUCUGUGGCAUGUCUUUUACAGUUUCAAUAUUGUUAAACCAAACAAUACCAUCAAUAAAACCAUAUAUCCUAUUCUAGAGCGCAUUCUUUGUUUUGUAAAUACAUAGCUCGAAAAUCAAAGCUUGCUCUUACCCAGAGUUUGGGCACAAUAUAUGGAUCACGUAUCUGGAAGCCUGAUGUGGCAAAGCUAUUGGGUCCAAUUCUGUGUGGCGUACUUGGUAUCGACAUUUAAUGAAUUUAUGUGAUUGAAUGAGGAUAAAUUUUACUUUUAGAUCUUUUGCUUCUUGGAAGCUUGGGACUUGUUUUCUCAUUCGAGUGCUACAGUAUAUGAAUUGAUGGUUCUCUUUUCUUCUUACUAACUCAAUUAUACCCAUUCAUUAAAUAACUUAUAGCUGUAACGGACACUAGUGGUCUUGCUUUUCUAUAUCAUUUUAUGAACGAUGGUAAUUUUGGUAUGUGGUCUAUUUGAAUGUAGCUGAUAUAUGAAGGUCAUGAUGGCCACUUUGUUUAUUUGGGAGAACUUUGUUAAAUUCCAAUGCCAUGGCUUCUGGAUAUUUGAAUGAGUCGGUCCUGAACAAGUUAAUGAGGAAAAUCUUUUGGUGGUCAGAUUAUAUCCUGGUUGAUUUUCAUUUGAUUUUAUGUUAACUUCACAAUUUGGUCAUGGCAUUGUUUUAUUAACCAUGGAAGAUUCUUAUAUAUAUCCUAUUGGUUUGUCGAUAACUUACACAAUGCCUUGUGUGCAUAGAAUGGACACAUUGAAGAGGCACCUUCCAUUUUCUGGCCAAGAGGGUUUAAAUGAACUCAGGAAAAUCGCAGUAAGGUUCGAGGAAAAGAUUUUUACAGCAGCAAACAGCCAGGUAAUCAUAGAAUAUUGGCAUUCCUUAACCUGCUUGGAUGCAUUGUUGUUUACCUAUAUUUUGUUUGUUUGCGUUGUGUGUAUGUAUCUUUGUGUUUCUUUUUUUUCUUAUUUAUAUGUAUAGACAUGCAUACACCUAGACUCCUUGUCAAUUACAUUGGAAGUAAAUAAGAAAGAAAUCCAGGGAGGAAAGAGAGCAGAGGUAGGAAAAAACAAAGACGCUAAAUGGAUAUUAAGCAUGGUUAAUAUAACAUAUUUGACAAUCUUGUCUUGUAUUUGAAUAAUGAAGUAAAGCUUGUUUACUCUAAUGCUGUAAUGGAUUUCUAUAUUCAGUCUGAUUAUCUAAGGAGAAUAUCCUUGAAGAUGCUUACUAUGGAGAACAAGUCUGAGAAUACCAUACCCAACACUGGGAAUAACAGCAAGGCCCCUGAUCCAGGUAAUAGCAGGAAACAGCAUUUUGCUUUGAUGUAAUCUAGAAGGAGGACAUUUUCCAUUUACAUGUCCUUUCUGUUCUUUAACAUGAAGAGUUGUUUAACUUGCAACAUUUAUGCACAUAUUCUUUCUGCAGCUAUUUGAAUGAAAAUUACCUAUAUUUUAACUCUUUUGUCCCCUUAACAAAGCGUGGUUGUUUUGGUGGGUUGGAGUUGUUUAAGGGAUAGAUUUGAUAAGCACCCAAAUAGAAAGCCCCAUUUGCUGUUCCCAUGAUUGAAGUCCUUCAGCAUGGGAUGCACCUCUUCAUGUGCUAGGCCUAGGAAUAAUUUUAUUAUUUUUUUCAUGAUCCUCAUGGUAUGGUUCAAUUGCCCUCACAGGUUUUAAGUCUAGUCAUCUUUUUGAAUGAAUUAAUUACUGCAUCAGUAUUUUUGGUGUUUAUCUUGUUCUAAAUGUUCUUCAAUUCAGUUCUUGUGGGUUCUUCCCAACUUUUCUUUCUGAAUAUAAGAAUCUUGGGUAGGUUGUGAGGGCAUGCAAAACCAAGUUCACAGUCAAGGGCAAUCAAUUCCUUUCCCAUUACAAAGUAAUAAGUCUCAAGCACAUCAACAACUGUUACCCCAGAGUGUUCCAAAUAACAUGUCAUCUGCUGGAGUUCAAAGUUCUACUGGUUUACAAUCUGGGAUGCCUUCUGUGUCUGGUCCAACCCAGAAUUCUAUACCUAAUGUUGUUGGCCAGAAUUCCAACAUGCAAAACUUGUCUGAAAUUUCACAGAACUCACUGGGGCAAGGGAUAUCUUCCAAUAUUUGUACUAAUCAUCAGAGGCAAAUGCAAGGAAGGCAACAGGUGCUACCGCAACAGCAGCAGCACCUUUGCUUGCAGGGUUCGAAAUUACCUGCACCUGACACACCUGGUAAUGGUAUGUCAACAUCACCUUUGCUUGCAGGGUUCGAAAAUGCUAAUGAUACUCACAGUAAUGCUUUAACAACUGAUUUUGGCGAGUCGAAGGAUACAGAAGAGCCACAUGUUCCCAGAGUUACCAUGGUUAGUGGAGCUUAAUUAAUUUUCAUUCUUCGCAUGCUCUUUUUUCAAUUUUCCCCUUUGGCUUGAUAUGUUGGUCAUGUGGUGAAAGAGUGGUAAAAAUGCUUGAAAUCCUUCUCUUUGUUUUUUUUCCUUUUGAUUUUAUCUUCUAGUAUAGUUUGUUUUAGCUUUUGAAAUGAUUUUGGUCUAUUACUAUUUGGUAUGUUUCAGGCUAAACCCAUGUCACUUAAAUCAUUGGAGGCAUCUAUUGUCGUCAUGGUUGAGGAGGCAGCCACUGCCGUUGGUGUGGAUAUGGCCGCCUUGAGCAAGGGUGGUCUGCAUCGAAGAAAUUUCUUUCCACAAACUGGAAUGACUGGAGCCGAGAAAAUGAGAUUCUACAUGAGUGCACUGGCUAUAUUAGCUCUAAUGUUUUGGUUCAUUAUAAUAGCAUCUGCAUGAGCAGUAGCAAACAAAUUUCCAAAGCUUUUAAUAUUUGGUUAAAGGAGGAAAGACGCAUUGGUUAUGGCAUGGAUUUCUCUCCUAAUAAGUCAUGACUAUUGACUGAUGAUACUAUUACGACAAAUUGUUGACAGGUGUUUGCUUAUUUAAAGGUUUUUGAACUUGUUUACAUUCCUAUCAAAUAUAUUAGGAGAUGCAUGCAUCAAAGUUCAUGCCGUUUAAGCCUCAGUGCAUGCAGUUUCUGACCAAUCUAGCCAUGUAAUAACACUAAUUAUCUAACUAAACACAUAAUUUGACCCUAGCUUUUUUUAUCAAGUGACAAGGGUGUUUAGGGUUUUAUGUUUGGGUCGAUCUAAGGUUAUUCAAUGCCUUUAGGUGAAGAGCCAUCUAGAUUAGAAAUACCUAGAUGUAAUAAGGGAUAAUGAUCACUUUUAUUUUUCAAGAGGAAAGAGAUAAAAAGAAGGUAAAGUUGGUAUUGAUUUGACGAAAUGUCACAUUUGUAGUCAAAUUUGCUAAAUAUUCAUUGAUGGAAGUGGACCCUUGCAUGUGCUGCACUGCCUGCAGAAAUUGGUCCCGUUUUAUUGCUUAAGAUUCUUACUCGCUAUGGGAUCUUUCUUUUCUUUUCUUUUCUUUUUUAAUGAUAUCAUUAUGACUAUUCUUAGAUUUUGUGGAAAUUUAAUUUUUUUAGAUAAUUUUAAGAAUAUAUUUUUUCAUAUAAAUCUCAUGUAUAUACUUUUUUUUUUGUUUCAAAAUGUCAUUUAUUAAUUUUAACAAAAUUUAAGAAAAAAUUUUAGAUUUUAGUGUGUUUAAUUUUAAAAUUUAAAUUUUUUUUAAAAUUAAAGUUUUAUGACUUUUAAUGUCAAAAAGUUAAAAAAAUCUAAAAUUUAAUUUUAAAAUAUAAAAAAUAAAUUUUUUAAAUGUUAAAAAAAUCCAACAUAAUUUGAGACAUUUCAGAAAGGAAAGAUUGAAAAAAAAAAAGGACAAAAAGAAUAUGAUUUUAUUUUUAUAUAUUUUUCAUAAAAAAUGAAUCCUAAUUAAUACGAAUAAAAAUGUAAAAAAAAAAAAAAAAGACAACAAUAGAAAUCCAAACUUGGAAGGAAAAAAAAAAAAAAGAUUAAGUGGGCCAACUUUAACAUGCAAGGUUCGCAUUAGUAAAUUCCAAAUGUUGCCAUGUAAUUGUAACCUAAUCAUUUUCACUAAACUUACUACAACAAUUUUGAUUUUAAGUGACGAUUUUUGAUUAAAAAUGUAAAUGAUAAAUUAAUAUUUGUAAGUUAUUCGGAUUCGAUUCGAAUAAAAUUCGAAUUCGAUUCGAUUAUUAUCGAAUCAAGUUCGAGUUCGAGUAAUUCGAUUAAUCGAUCGAAUCGAAUUCGAGUAUUUUAAUAUUUAGCUCGAGUAGCUCGUUAGUUUAAUCGAACUUUUAUAUUUAAAUUUUUUUUAUUAUUUUAGUUAAUAAAAUAUCUUGAAUUCGAGUUCGAAAUCAAGCACAAAUAAUCGAGUUCUUGUCGAACAUAAAAAUUGAACUUAUUUUUAUAUAUUUUUGAGCUUAAUCGAAUAAGUUCGAGUAGUUUGAAUUCGAUCACGAAUCGAGUUCGAAAUAAAAAAAUGAAUCUCGAUCGAACUCGAAUUGAAUAUCAAAUUACGAAUUGAGAAUCAAACUAUAAUUUAAAAUUCUCAUUGUAUCCACUUAACUCUUACUUUUGACAAUAAUUUUGUGAAAGAGUGGCUUAAGAAAUUUUAGCCCACGAUUUUUACCGUUGUCAAAGGUAAACUUUUUGUAGUAAGGAAGUGAUAAACUCAAUGGCCAAUGGCCUUCAAGUUUUUUUUUUUUUUUUCUUGCUUUCGAAUCAAAGAGCACCAUUUUUUUUUUUCGUGCUAAUCGACUUGCUAGAAUUUUUUUUUUUAAUUUGAAUUCAAAAAUUUUAAUUUUAAAAUCAAUUUUAAUAUUAUUAAAUUAAUUUAUCAUUAUUCAUUAUUAAGUAAAAUUUUAUAUAUUAAUCUUAAAAUGAUGAAUUAUAAUUAUUAUACAUCAAAUUCAAUUUUUAUCGUAUGAUAAUUUAUUUCAAUGUAUAUUGUAUUUUCCUUGAUAACAUAUUGAUUUGUUAAGAAUUGAUUUUCUUUUAUGUAAAAACUUGUUUAUUUGACUAAUUAUGUUUGUAAUAUUUUUUUGUAAAUGUAUUUAGCUAAUUAUGUCUCAUAAAAGAAUUUGGGUCUUGGAAGAAAAUUGAAUAAUUUAGUUAAAUUAUAUAAUAAUCAACUAAUACUUCCUUAUUAUAAAUAAAUGAAUUACAACUAGAUCUAUUAAAUUAUAAAAAAAUUACAAUUAAAUUUGAUAAUUUUAAAUAUGAUAUAUUGAUAUAAUAUAAAAAUUAUAUACAAAGUAAAAAAAUAAUAUGAUUUAGGAUUUUAAACAAAAUAAUAUGAAAUUUAAAUAAUAAAAAAUAUAUUUUAUUUUUAACGUAUUAAUAUACAUUUUGAAAUGAUAAUCUUAAACAUAUUAAAUACAAAAUAAACAUGAAAUAAAUAUAAAAAUUGUCUAAUUACAACACUCCUUAUUAAGUUGGUUAGGAAAUUAGGAAAAUUUUCACCAUUGAUUUUGUAUCAAUUUUGUAAAAAAAUAUAAGAAAAAAAAAUCAAAAGAAUUUCACAUUUUCCAUUACAAGUUUUUAUAAAAACAAUACUAACAUAUUUUAUUUUGAUAAAUAAAUUUGAGACAAACAAAUUAUUUACAAAUAAAAUAACAUUAAAAUUUAAAUCUAAAAUUAUUUUUUAACUGAAGUGUAGGAACCAACCUUAAUUGCUUCAAUUAAUUUUAUUAUAACAAAAAAGUGGUUAAUUCCCAAAUAAAAAUGCAUGAUUGUAAAAAUAAUGUCAACAAAAAAAAUACAAAUUUUUUAAAGAGAAAAAUUAAAAAGUGCAAGGAAGGAAUAACAACAAAAGUCAAAAUUGAUAAAAAAAAAAUCAAAAUUAGGGUUUUUUUUUUUUUUUAAAUCGUCAUUAUUUGUGGACAUGAAAAAUAAUAAUAAAAUUAAAAUAAAAACGCCGACAACAUACAAAGAUAUGUGCCUAUAAAAGUCAUUGCCAUUCACUACGAUCCAGCACAUGACUUUCUUUCCCUUCUUCCCGUCUAAGCUUCUUGUUUCUCUUUCUUUUCUCUUACUUUCUUUUCAACCAAACAAAUAAAUUUCAGUUGGUUUUCCUCCUUUUAUUUUCUUCUAAUAAUAUUUAUUUGUACGUGAGAGUUAGGUAUUUUUCCAAUUAUGCCAAAAAGAAACAAAAAAGAAAUUUUAUAAUUUAUUCUCUGUAUAAUCAAAGGUAAUCUGAGGCGUGGGUUUAAUUCAAUCUGGGAUUUGGUAUUUGAAAAAAAAAAUUCUUGAGGAAUUGUCGAAGCGGAUCUCUCUUAGGAGCUCUUCGUUGAGGUAAAAUUUUCAAACUUUUUAUAGGUUUUACGAUUCUGUUGCCUUAAUUUCCUCGAAAAUCUUACGUGGGAAUAUGUUUUUGACUGUAAGAAUAAAAGAUUUCAUUUUUUUAUUUAAUAUCACCCGGUAAUUAACUUUGUAUUUUUUUUAAUCUUUUUGCCUUAAAAAAAAUUAGAAAGGUUGCUAGUAUAUUUGGAUACCCAAUAAUGAAAGCAACCCCCAAAAGCAGAUUAUUUCUAUUAAACAUGAUUUAAAUCAUGGAUUUUGUUAAUAUUUCUAAUUCUCUUUCUCUUUGUUUUUUCAUUUAAUGAUAUAUGAUAAAGUUCUAGUUAUGGGGACUGAUUUCAUUGGGAAAAUGUCAAAUAUUUAGCUAGAAAAGUUUCAAGUGCAGUUGUUUUUGGUUAGAAGGCUCAACCUUUUAACCGUGAGCCUUGGUAGCAUUCUCAGAAGCCAACUAACAAUUAAUUCUUUAGUGAAUAGCAAUUGGUUGAGUAUUAGCAUUGCUUUCCAGUGAUGUGCUGGUCUAGUGGUGAAAGUAGUGGUGUUUUAGUGAGUUACAGUCCUCCUUAGGUGCAUGACCAAUGGCCUAGGACAGAGAGAAAAAUCGGAAUCUUAAGAGCCUUGUGAAGAAGGGUUUCCUAGUAUUAGUAUUAAAUCAACCAAAUUGACAUCCAAUUGUAAAGUUGUGGUUUACAUAGCAAACUAUCAUCUUCAACUUAAGUCAUGGUUGUAGGGUGUCUGUGAGUGUCUAGUAACAUGUCUUGUCAUUUUGUAAGAGUGCGGCAAAUGAUGUGUACUGUCCACUUUAUCUUACAACAUUAACAAAAAUGAAAUCCUGCUCUUAUGUAUAAAUUUAUGGUUGCAAAAACUGUGUUUUACCCCGAGUUUCUUAUCAAGAGAAGGGGGGUGUUUAUUGCUACGAACUUUGUCAAAUGUUUUGCAUAUUUGAGAAGCGAUUAGUGUCCAAACUUACAAGUUUUUCUUUUUCACUUCCUUUAAUAUAUGACAAAAAAUUUGAUGUGAAUUGUUUGUGACUUUUCUUUUCUCUUUUGAUGUUGUCAGAAUUUGAUGGAUACCAAUAACUGGAGGCCUACUCCUGCCAGUGGAGAGCCCACCAUGGAUACAGGUGAAUGGAGAACCCAGUUGCAGCCUGAUUCACGACAAAGAAUUGUCAACAAGAUGUAAGUGAAUUUUAUGGUAUUAUUAUUUGUUAAAUAUACUCGUUGUAUUUAAGUUACUGAUAUUCUGUGGCAUGUCUUUUACAGUUUCAAUAUUGUUAAUAACCAAACAAUACCAUCAAUAAAACCAUAUAUCCUAUUCCAGAGCGCUUUCUUUGUUUUGUAAAUACAUAGCUCAAAAAUCAAAGCUUGCUCUUACCCAGAGUUUGGGCACAAUAUAUGGGCCACGUAUCUGGAAGCCUGAUGUGGCAAAGCUAUUGGGUCCAAUUCUGUGUGGCAUACUUGGUAUCGACAUUUAAUGAAUUUAUGUGAUUGAAUGAGGAUAAAUUUUGCUUUUAGAUCUUUUGCUUCUUGUAAGCUUGGGACUUGUUUUCUCAUUCGAGUGCUACAGUAUAUGAAUUGAUGGUUCUCUUUUCUUCUUACUAACUGAAUUAUACCCAUUCAUUAAAUAACUUAUAGCUGUAACGGACGCUAGUGGUCUUGCUUUUCUAUAUCAUUUUAUGAACGAUGGUAAUUUUGGUAUGUGGUCUAUUUGAAUGUAGCUGAUAUAUGAGGGUCAUGAUGGCCACUUUAUUUAUUUGGGAGAACUUUGUUAAAUUCCAAUGCCAUGGCUUCUGGAUUUUUGAAUGAGACAGUCCUGAACAAGUUAAUGAGGAAAAUCUUUUGGUGGUCAGAUUAUAUCCUGGUUGAUUUUCAUUUGAUUUUAUGUUAACUUCACAAUUUGGUCAUGGCAUUUUAUUAACCAUGGAAGAUUCUUAUAUAUAUACUAUUGGUUUGUCGAUAACUUACACAAUGCCUUGUGUGCAUAGAAUGGACACAUUGAAGAGGCACCUUCCAUUUUCUGGCCAAGAGGGUUUAAAUGAACUCAGGAAAAUCGCAGUAAGGUUCGAGGAAAAGAUUUUUACAGCAGCAAACAGCCAGGUAAUCAUAGAAUAUUGGCAUUCCUUAACCUGCUUGGAUGCAUUGUUGUUUACCUAUAUUUUGUUUGUUUGCGUUGUGUGAAUGUAUCUUUGUGUUUCUUGUUUUUCUUAUUCAUAUGUAUAGACAUGCAUACACCUAGACUCCUUGUCAAUUACAUUGGAAGUAAAUAAGAAAGAAAUCCAGGGAGGAAAGAGAGCAGAGGUAGGAAAAAAAAAGAUGCUAAAUGCUAACUCAAUAUUAAACAUGGUUAAUAUAACAUAUUUGAUAAUCUUGUCUUGUUUUUGAAUAAUGAAGUAAAGCUUGUUUACUCUAAUGCUGUAAUGGAUUUCUAUAUUCAGUCUGAUUAUCUAAGGAGAAUAUCCUUGAAGAUGCUUACUAUGGAGAACAAGUCUCAGAAUACUAUACCCAACACUGGGAAUAACAGCAAGGCCCCUGAUCCAGGUAAUAUCAGGAAACAGCAUUUUGCUUUGAUGUAUUCUUGAAGUAGGACACUUUCCAUUUACAUGUCCUUUCUGUUCUUUUACAUGCAGAGUUGUUUAACUUGCAACAUUUAUGCACAUAUUCUUUCUGCAACUAUUCGAAUUAAAAUUAUCUGUAUUUUAACUCUUUUGUCCCCUUAACAAAGCGUGGUUGUUUUGGUGGGGUGGAGUUGUUUAAGUGAUAGAUUUGGUGAGCACCCAAAUAGAAAGCCCGUUUUGCUGUUUCCAUGAUUGAAGUCUUUCAGCAUGGGUUGCACCUCUUCAUGUGCUAGGCCUAGGAAUAAUUUUAUUAUUUUUUCAUGAUCCUCAUGGUAUGGUUCAAUUGCCCUCACACGUUUUAAGUCAUCUUUUUGAAUGAUCCUCGUGCUUCAGUAUUUUUGUUGUUUAUCUUGCUCUAAAGUUUCUUCAAUUCAGUUCUUGUGGGUUCUUCCCAACUUUUCUUUCUGAAUAUAAAAUCGUGAGUAGGUUCUCAGGGCAUGCAAAACCAAGUUCACAGUCAAGGGCAAUCAAUUCCUAUCCCAUUACAAAGUAAUCAGUCUCAAGCACGUCAACAACUGUUAUCCCAGAGUGUUCCAAAUAACAUGUCAUCUGCUGGAGUUCAAAGUUCUACUGGUUUACAAUCUGGGAUGCCUUCCGUCUCUGGUCUAACCCAGAAUUCUAUACCUAAUGUUGUUGGCCAGAAUUCCAACAUGCAAAACUUGUCUGGAAUUUCACAGAACUCACUGGGGCAAGGGAUAUCUUCCAAUAUUUUUACUAAUCAGCAGGGGCAAAUGCAAGGAAGGCAACAGGUGCUACCACAACAGCAGCAGCAGCAGCAACUAUACCAUCAGCAGUUACAACACCAACUUUUAAAGCAAAAGAUUCAACAAGGAAAUAUCCAGCCCUCACUUAUGCAGUCUCACAUGCCGCAACAGCAACAGCAAAACCUGUUACCAUCUACUCAGUUGCAAUCUUCCCAGCAAUCUAGUAUGCAAACAUCAUCUGUUAUGCAGCCAUCUGCCAUGCAAUCAACUCCUCUUACUGGUCUUCAAAAGAAUCAACAAUCUUCUCUACAACAGUCAGUCCUUAGACAGCAGCAACAGCCACAAGUGGCCACCAGUGCUGGUAUUCUUCAACAACAAACAGCAAUGACACAGCAGUCAAUGAUGCCUCAGCAGCAACAACAGCCUCCACAGCCACAGCAGCAGCCACACAUAAUGGGACAACAGACAAAUGCUGCAAAUAUACAGCAGAAUCAGUUAAUUGGACAACAAAAUAGCAUUGCGGACAUGCAGCAGCAGAGAUUGCUAGGCCAGCCUAAUAAUCUUCCAAACCUGCAGCAGCAGCAGCAGCAGCAGCAGUUAAUGGCUCAACAAAACCUCUCAAAUAUCCAUCAGCAACAGUUGGGUCCACAAAGUAAUAUUUCAGGAUUACAGCAACAGCAGCAGCAGCAACAACAAUUGAUUGGAACCCAGUCGGGUAACUCAAGCAUGCAAACUCAUCAGCAAUCUUUACACAUGCUACCUCAGCCUAAGGUUUCACUCCAACAAACGCAGCAGAGUGCACCUAAUUUGUUAGCAACUCAAGGACAGACAUCCCAGCAGCUGCAGCAGCAACAGCAACUGAUGUCACAGAUGCAAUCACAGACUACUCCGCUGCAGCAACAAUUGGGUUUGCAACAGCAGCCCAAUCAAUUACACCAAAAUAUGCAGCCUAGGCUUCAAGCAUCAGGUCAAGUAUCAAGUUCCUUGCUUCGAUCACAAAAUUUGAUAGAUCAGCAAAAGCAAUUGUAUCAAUCACGCAGAGCUGUUCCAGAGACAUCAUCGAGUAUGUUUUUGAAUCUAUGCAGUUGCUUAUUUUGUUCUUUCUUUGUCUUUCUGAUCGUGUUAUUUGACUAAUCUAUGUAAUUUUUUCCUCUGAUACUUGCACAUUUUAUCCUUGAAGCCUGAAAAAAAUCUAUUCUCUCAUAUAGCUACUAUAGUUGAUGCUAUUGUUUUGCUUUGCAUUUCUAUUACAGAAAAUAAUUUCCAUUCCAACUUUGGGGGGAUUAAGAGAAUAUCUUUUUGAACUUGUACUAUGUUGUCCUAUCAAAGCACAUUUUGCCUGGAUGCUUAGUCCAUAGCUAACAAAGACAAAUGCUACCAAAAUUAAUGGCACCCUUGCCUUCAUAAGCUGAUCAUGGGCACUGCCUGGCUUUUUAUGCCACCAGAAACAUUGUUGUUACCCAUGUCACUGCUAAGUCUCCACUGUUGUCACUGUGCUAUUAUGUUACUCUUAACACUCACUGCAGUUAUUUUGCAAUGGUUUUGUCAAACCACAAAGUAAUGGCUGGAUUUAAUCUAUUCAUUUUAUCAACAAAUAAUUGAUGCUGUUUUAUUCAAUGAGUUUUCAUGUUGGCUAUAAAACAUUCUUCUGGAAAUAAGUAAACUGUGUUUUGUGUGCAAAGAGAAGUGACCAUUUUGUUGGUUAAGUUCAAAAAGCAGAAACAAAAUGCAUAAACUCACUCAUGCUCUUCAUAUUCAUUUGAAAUUUAGAAUGGUGAGAUAUUUCUAGCAGUUUGUUUGAUUUUGUCGGGUUGGUGAGAUUCCUCUGUCCAACUUAAAUAUUGCUGUUCUUUCUGGUAAUCUAGCUUUCAAAAAUGUUCCUAUUACUUAAUUUAACAUAAAAUUAGGAUUAGGAGAUUGCAGUCCUGUUUGAGAACGGCUAGUUACUGUUUUUGCAUCAAAAUAGAGGGUAAACAUGCUUGCAAAUGUCAGAGGAAUUUUGUUUGGAUGAAGAAUGCAUAGUGAAUGACUGGAUAAGCAAGUGGGUGACAGUGAGCUGGUUCAUGCAUGCAUGAAAUGGUUAAAAGGGUGUCAAAACUCAAAAUUGUCUUAGUGGUGUUUUGAUUGAGUUUAACGGCUUUUAUUGAAACAUUAAAUUUGUGCUGUAGAUGUAAUUAAGUUUUAUAUGAACCCUAUAUUCCUUGAGUCUAAUUUGUGCCCUAAAUUUUUUUAAUACUUUAGUUUGACUCACCGUUAUUUGCUUGAGAUAUUUAUUUUUAAUGAAUAACAAGUGUGUAGCAGAAAAUAGUUUAACUUUUUUUUAGGUCUUCCUUCUCAUGAUCACUUAAACUUAUCUAUCAUUUACUCCUAUUCCAACUGAGCUUCUUAGUUAUAGAUGACAAAUGUAUAGUUAGCUUUUAACUUGAGAAACUCUAUAAGUAGCCUUGAAAAAUAAGAGUGAUGUUUGAACUUGGAGUUUGUCUCUAUGUGUCACAAUGGAAAGUCAAAAUUAAAAAAUUUUCUGCUUUUGUAAACGUGCAUCUUAGAAUAUCCUAAAAUUAAAAGGCAUUGAAAUUGGGAUGUAGGGAGCAUGUUUUUAAUGAGUAACCUCUAAAACUUGGAUAUGCAUGGUUAGUUGCAGAAACUAGCAAUAAAAUUUUCUCAUAUGUUAAUGUCCAAAAUGUUUAAUGGUUUCUUCAAAUGCCUUUCAGUUGUAACCCAUGGUGGAUCUGAUGGAAUUUUGGGACACAGGAAUUGAUUAUUGGUUGUAUUAUGAUCUCUGUCGAUAUCCCCAUCAAUGCUAUGUGUACUUUAAUUUGCUUUCAGAGUUGGUUGUUUUCUGCUCAUAAUAUACCCUUCUUCCACAAAUUAUCUAUUUCAGUGUUCUUUUACAUAUAUGCAACAAAAUCAUGUACCUUCAUGCGUAUGGAACAAUUUUCUUUCAUUUAAAUUAUGUUUUCCUUGCUUAUUCUUCUUCCUCCAUAAAUCUCCAUUUUCUGAUGUGUGCGCGGUUUAUUUAUCUUUUUUUGUUUUUAGCAUCUUUAGAUUCCACAGCUCAAACAGGACAUGCAAAUGGGGGUGAUUGGCAAGAAGAGGUCUAUCAGAAGGUAAAAACUAUCUUGACUUAUUCUCCUAUAGAUAUUAUUACAGUUUCAACUUGGUUUUAAGGAGGUUUUAGGUGUAGGAAAGUGGUUCUGAAAAAGAAUAGAGUAUGUUGGGAUGCGUCUUAUAGCAGGAACUAUAAAAUUGAAGAAGUAGGAGCUUAAAACAUAUUUGGUAAAAGAAAUUUCUGAUAUUUUCUGAAUUACUUAUUACUUUGUUAAUAAGAACUUGAAUUCUUUUGGCUUGUUCUUAGAAGAAAUAAAAUAAAGCUUAUUUAAAUGCUUCAGCUCUCUACUAAAGAUCUAUUAAAAUUGGUGAGCAAGAAACCUAAGACCAAGGUUAUCUUGCAUGCUUGACUUCAAAGUAAUCAUCAUUUAUGGAUUCCUUUGUUUCUUCUGUUAUUAACUAAUAUCAGUGCCCGCUAUUCAGAAAGUGGAAAAAUCUUGUUACUUUUCUAAUAAAUCAUGGCACUUGGAUAAAUUGAGUGGUUUAAUUGUUGGUUAAGCAUUCUGUUCGUGAUUUUAUGUUGCAGAUCAAGACCAUGAAGGAGACAUACUUACCUGAAUUAAAUGAGAUGUACCAGAAAAUUGCUGCCAAGUUGCAGCAGGUAGGUUUAUUAUUUUACAUAAUCAUAUAUAUUCAUUCCCUAACCUCAAGGAGUGAUAGAACCCAUCUGCACCAUAGUCUGCCACCCUGUAUCUCUAAAUAGCAUUUAGAGAGGACUUUACUACUCCACAUUAGGAAACUUUUGAACCCAUACCACUUUUGGGUUGCUACUUGAAUCCCUUUACCGUAGACACUGUUUAGUGGUUGCACUUAUGCAUAUCUGGUGGAAUAGUGGUUUGUAGUUUUACUUUCAUCAGUUGAAAACAAUUUUAUGUGUGCUAUUUUCCAGCAUGAUUCUCUUCCACAGCAGCCAAAGUCAGAGCAGCUUGAAAAGUUGAAAAUGUUCAAGAGCAUGUUGGAGCACAUCAUAGCUUUCUUAUCAGUUACCAAAACCGGUAUCUUACCCACUUUCAAGGAUAAGUUGAGUUUGUAUGAGAAGCGGAUAAUAAAUUUUUUAAGUACCAAUAGGCCAAGGAAGGCAGUCCCAGCACUGCAGCAAGGGCAGCUUCCUCCACCUCAUAUGCAUUCCAUGCCACAGCCUCAACCUCAAAUUAAUCAGACACAGUCUCAUGAUAAUCAAAUGAACCCUCAGCUGCAGUCAAUGAAUUUACAAGGUUCUGUUCCAACAAUGCAGCCGAACAACAUGACAAGUUUGCAGCAUAAUUCUGUGUCUUCUUUACCUGGGGUUGCAACAGCGCAGCAGACCCUGUUAAAUUCAAUGCAGCCCGGUUCCAAUUUGGAUGCAGGACAAGGUAAUGCCCUAGGCUCAAUGCAGCAGGCUGCUGCAGGACCUCUACAACAGAAUCCUGUGAGUACCUCCCAACAGGCAAAUCUUAACAAUUUAUCUUCACAAAGUGGGUUAAGUGUCCUGCCACAAAACAUGAAUCCUCUUCAGUCAAAUCCCAACAUGCUUCAGCACCCACAUUUGAAACAACAGCAGGA